AAGGCAGCUAGAUCCAGCAGACGGAGUAAAGAGCCUGAGGUCAGAGGCAAGGGGCAUAGCUCUAAAGAGGAUUCAUCCAGUGAUGAUGAUAGUGAUGGGAAUUUCAUGGUUGAUUGGAGAGCACAACACCUGUGAAUACUUCUGUUUGAAAUUUUCUGGUAGCAUCGCCUGUGCAGACAUGUCUAUGUUGGCAUGCAAACACCUGAUUACGUUUGCUGGAGUUUGGUCUUCAAAUUGAUAAAUGGUAGUUUUUUCCAUUCAUAAUUUCAUUCGUUCAUGUACAGAGAAUAUAUAGAGGGUAAUCACCAUUCUAAGAAUGGGAAGGAAUGAUAUAAGGAAAGAAUGAUAUAAGGAAAUAACAACUAAUAUCCUAAUAUCUCAACUUUCCUAAUAUCUCAAUAUUCCUAAUAUCUCAAUAUUCUUAAUAUCUCAACUUUCCUAAUAUCUAAACAUUCCUAAUAUCUCAACACUAAAUAAUAUAAGGAAAUAAUGAUAUACGGAAAUCAUUCCUAAUAUCUCAACACUCCCCCUCAAGUUGGUGUAUAGAUGUCACACAUGCCCAACUUGUCUAAAAAUUUUGAGAAUACUUGACUUGAGACAGCUUUGGUGAGGAUAUCAGCCAAUUGAUAUUCUUAUCGAAUCUUAGGCAAUUCCACAAUCUUAUCAUCCAACUUUUCCUUAAUGAAGAAUCUAUCCACCUCGACAUGCUUUGUACGAUCAUGUUGUACUGGAUUAUGAGCAAUGUCACAUGCGGCUUUAUUGUCACAAAACAAUCGGAUUGGUUGCCUAGAUAGGUAACCUAAAUCCUGUAAGAGAAGUCUUAGCCAUAAUGCCUCACAAAGUCCUAGAACCAUACCUCUAAAUUCCGCUUCUGCACUUGAACGAGUGACGACAUUCUGCUUCUUACUUUUCCAUGUCACAAGAUUACCACCUACAAAGGUAAAGUAACCAGAUGUAGAUCGCCUAUCAUCCACUGCACCGGCCCAAUCAGCAUCAGUAUAUACUUCUAUACUUUGAUGAUUAACAUUUUUAGCAAACAAAAUUCCUUUCCCAAGAGCAUUCUUCAAAUACCUCAAAAUACGCAUAAAUGUAUUCAUAUGUUGCUCUCCAGGAUUAUGCAUGUAUUGACUCACUACACUCAAUGCAUAAACAAGAUCUGGUCUUGUAUGAGCUAAGUACAUUAAUCUCCCCGCAAGUCUCUGGUAUCUUCCCUUAUCGGUUGAUACUUGAUUAGGCUCAACACACAAUUUCAGACCUUCUUCUAUUGGUGUAUUAACAGGUUGACAUCCUGACAUUCCAGUCUCCUGUAAAAGAUCUAAGGCAUACUUUCUUUGAGACAGAAAAAUCCCUUCACUUGAUCGAGAAACUUCAAUCCUAAUAAAGUAUUUUAGAGGACCUAGAUCUUUCAUUUCAAAUUCUCUAGAUAGAUAAUUUUGCAGAGCUUUUCUUUCUUCAGGAUCAUUUCUUGUAACUACCAUGUCAUCCACAUAUACGAUGAGUGCGGUAAUCUUACCAUGUUGCUUUUUCAAGAACAAAGUAUGAUCUGAAUUACUUUGACGAUAGCCAAAAGCUCUCAUUGACUUUGUGAACCUUCCAAACCAUGCUCUCGGGGAUUGCUUCAACCCAUACAAUGACUUCUUCAAUUUGCACACCUUCUGACAUUGCUUUUCUGACACCAUGCAUCCUAGUGGAAGGUCCAUAUAUACUUCUUCAGAUAACUCGCCAUGCAGAAAGACAUUUUUCACAUCAAACUGUUGUAAUGGCCAAUCUAGGUUUGCAGCUAAAGAUAGUAAUACUCGAACUGUAUUGAUCUUAGCUACAGGUGCAAAUGUCUUUGUGUAGUCAAUUCCAUAAGUUUGAGUGUACUCUUUUGCUACCAGUCUUGCUUUAAAUCGUUCAAUACUACCAUCUGCCUUGUACUUCACAGUAUAGAUCCAACGACACCCAACUGGCUUCUUUCCUGGUGGACAUUCUACGAGUUCCCAUGUUUCAUUAUUCUGCAAUGAUUUCAUCUCUUCAUUCAUGGCUGCUUUCCACCUUGGAUCAGUUAAGGCUUCCUGCACACUAUUAGGAAUAGCUACAGUAGAUAAUUGAUUUACAAAUGACUUAUUUGAUUCAGACAAACGAUGGUUAGACACAUAGUUGUUCAUGGGAUAUUUGACUUUGGUAGACAAUUCAGGUUCAUAUGUGGGUUUAGGAAUACCUCUAUUAUGACGGUGUGGUAACCGUUUCAUGAAUGGAUUAGGUUCCAAAUUAAGAACACCUUCAACAGACGACGAUUGGUUUGGUAUUUCAGUGAAGACAUCUUCGAACCCAAAUUGUUGACCACUCAUAUCCAACUCACCUGCUUCUUGGUUCACUAGUUCAGAUUGUCCAGAUUCAUUCUCCUUAGAGAUAUGAUAAUCAUAAUCGAGAGUCUGAAUUUCCUUAUGGUACUUCCCCUGAAGUUCAGAUUCAGAUGAAAAAUACAUCGAAUCUUCAUGAAACACUACAUCCAUUGUAAUAUACAUUUGUCGAGUUGGAGGAUGGUAACAUUGAUAUCCCUUUUUGUGCAAUGUAUAUCCAACAAACACACAUUGCAAUGCAUGGGAAGUUAACUUGGUGCGUUAGUGCUUGUGUAGAUGCACAAAUGCCACACAACCAAAAACAUGAGGAGGUAGAUUUGGCACAGUUGGGGCAACUACGACAUUAGUAAGAGCUUGGAGAGGUGUUUGGAAGUUAAUUGAGCUGGAAGGUACCCAAUUGAUCAAGUAUGCAGCAAAUAUGAUUGCUUCUCCCCAAUAAGAUAUCGGUGUUUUUGCUACUAUCAAGGAAGCACGAACAACCUCUAACAAGUGUCGAUUUUUCCCUUCAGUGACUCCAUUUUGCUGGGGUGUAUUGGAACAAGUAGUCUGAUGAAUGAUGUCAUGUCCUUCCAAAUAUUUUUGAAGAUCAAAACUUUAAUAUUCUCCACCAUUAUCACUACGCAGAACCCGAACCUUUGCAUUGUACUGAGUUUCAAUCGUUUUAUGAAAUUUUUGAAACAACAAGUUCACUUCAUAUUUGGUCUUCAUCAAGCAUAACCAUGUCAUUCUGGUACAAUCAUCAAUAAAAGUAACAAACCAACGUGAGCCACUCAAAGUUGGGACUUUGGAUGGGCCCCAAACAUCAGAAUGUAUAACCAUAAAAGGAAACGGACUUUUGUUCAAAAUUAACAGAAACGAAACACGAUGGCUUUUANNNNNNNNNNNNNNNNNNNNNNNNNNNNNNNNNNNNNNNNNNNNNNNNNNNNNNNNNNNNNNNNNNNNNNNNNNNNNNNNNNNNNNNNNNNNNNNNNNNNUACGGUGAUUUGAGAAACUGACAAAAGAUUGUUAUCUUAAAGAUGGAACAACUAAACAGAAUCCCAAAUUCAAAGUAUCAGUAAGAGUUAAGGAUCCUUCCCUAAUGACUGGGGUUGUGUUACCAUUGGCUGUGGAAACAAUUUUUUGUGAGGAAGGUCUAAGGGGUGAAACCUGUCUAGAAUCAAAAGUCAUAUGAUCUGUAGCACCAGAAUCAAUUAUCCAUGCACUAUUAAUAACAAGUGUAAAAGUAUUUAAAAACUUACCACCAUGAUCUGUAGCGGCUACCAAUGCAGAGGCUUUCUCAACAACAUUAGCCUCUGUUUUUAUUUCAGCAACAGUUGCAAUCAAGGUUUUCUUGGAAUCCUUCUUCCAUUGAUCACGAUUAUUAUCAUUAAUAACAAAGUGUUGAUAGCCUAAACAUGAUCUAAAGGUCCAUGGUUCAAACUCUCAAUUCCUCAUUGUUUUCCUGGUCAUACCAAGAAUCGUUGCUUUGAAAUUGUGGGAUAUCCAGAUUGGUGGGAUCAAUCUUAUUGCAUUGAGUGCAUUUGAAGGUUGACUUAUCAAUAUUAGGGCUUGUCUUAGGAUGGAUGAUCGCUGUCGGACUACCAUAGCGACAAAAUAUCCAGGAUUUCAGUUCCAUGACUCUGAUACUAUCUUCAAAUUGAUAAAUGGUAGUUUUUUCCAUUCAUAAUUUCAUUCAUUCAUGUACAGAGAAUAUAUAGAGGGUAAUCACCAUUCUAAGAAUGGGAAGGAAUGAUACAAGGAAAGAAUGAUAUAAGGAAAUAACAACUAAUAUCCUAAUAUCUCAACUUUCCUAAUAUCUCAAUAUUCCUAAUAUCUCAAUAUUCUUAAUAUCUCAACUUUCCUAAUAUCUAAACAUUCCUAAUAUCUCAACACUAAAUAAUAUAAGGAAAGAAUGAUAUACGGAAAUCAUUCCUAAUAUCUCAACAUUUGGUGUUGCUUCUUUCAUUCUGAGUCAUUCUCCAGAUUUUGGUUCAACUGGCUGCUGAUUGAAAGGGAUGGGGAAUGAGGCGAGGUGAGAGUAAGCCCUGGUCCAAGAUCCUAGAAUUUUACAUUGUUUCUGUAUGCAUGUCUAUAAAUGAUCUGGGUUUUGGUUGAAACUUGAAUGGUGUAUCCCGAAUUUCGAUACUAAGAUUUAGGGUUUAAUGAAGACAAAUGGGUUAGGAAAGGAAUCAGUUUUAUGCUCUUACUGUUUAUUUGGAAAUUUUGAGUUCUUUCCCGGUGUUGCCGGUUAUUAUCUGAAACACCUGCGCUACUUAACACUUAUCUUUUCACUACCUUCAAUUAUAUGGUGUAAUCGCACAACUGAAAUGCAAAAUUUUCUGGUGGGAUUAUCUCAUGAUUUCAGAAUCAUAAUUAAUUAAUAUUAUUAUUAUUAUUAUUAUUAUUAUUAUUAUUAUUAGGGGGUGGCCAUUUGGUGGUAAUAGUGGGCAAGUUACAGUCAGUUUCGUCGCGGGUUUAAAAAGUAGUUUUUCCUUUUUAAAAAUAAAAAUUAUUUGUUUCUAAUUUUUAAAAAUAAAGUGAAAUAAAGAGUAAGAGCUUGUUUGGCUGCGUGAUUUAAAAAUAUAUAUUUUUUUAAAUUUUUAUAAAUAAAAAAUUAUUUUUAAAAUUUUUUAACAUUAUUUUUGUUAAAAAUAAAGUAAAAUAGAGAAUAAUUAUUUGAAAAUAAGUAAAAGUUGUUUCCAUCUAUUUUUUAAAAUAAAAAAAAUUAUAGAUUUUUUUUAAAAGUAUUAAAAAAACAAAUAAAUUUAAACAUGUUAUUAUUCCAUUUCUCUUUAUAGAAUUUUUUUUAAAAAAAUAUUAAACAAAAAUAAAAUUAAACAUGUUAUUAUUCCAUUUCUCUCUCCACAAUCUAAUCUUCCUUUAAAUUAUACGUAUUUUUCUGAAUUUUUCUAGAAUAUUUCAUUAAGGAAAUACAUUUCAAAUCAAAGUGUACUUGAAACAUAAAAUUUAUUAAUUUUUAAAAAUAAUUUGAAACUCAAAAACUGAUUUAAUUAAUACUAAAAGUUAUGAAACUUAAUAACAUUAGUUAGUCAAAGAUCAAAAUUUAUUUUAAUUAUUUAGGUUAGUUUCUAUAUAUAUAUAUCAUUUUUAAAAAUUUUAUUAUUAGGUAAAUAAGUUUUAAAUUAAGCAAGAUUUAAUGCAUUAGAUUCACUAAGAGCUUAGUAAUUUUUUAAAACAAUUUAAAACUCAAAUAGUAAACAAAUUAACACAAAAAACUUAUGGAUAAAAAUUGGUUUAGAACAACUUUAUUGUUUCUCUUUCACAUAGAAUCCUUAUUUCUUAAUUUUCUUUUUCUUAGGCAAAUGAACUCCAAAUUAAAUAAGACUUAAUGCUUGGAUUCAUUAAUGAGUCUAGUAAUUUUUAAAAUUAAUUUAAAACUCAAAUAAUGAACUAAUUAAUACUAGAAAUUUAUGAACAAAAAUUGUUGUAGAACCACUUUAUUGUUUAUCUUUUACAUAGAAUCCUUAUUCCCCAACUUUUUUCACUAAGCAAAUGAAUUACAAAUUAAAUAAAAUUUAAUGCAUUGAAUUCAUUAACGAGUUUAGUCAUUUUUAAAAUUAAUCUAAAACUUAAAUAAUAAUAUAAUCAAUACUAGAAAUUUAUGAAAAAAAAUGGUUUAAAAUAACUCAUUGUUUUUAUUUUACAUAGAAUUAUUAUUUUCUAUUUUUUUAACCAAGCAAAUAAGCUUCAAAUUAAAUGAGGCUUAAUGUGUUGAAUUCAUCAAUAAGUUUAUUAAUUUUUGAAAAUAAAUUGAAAGUCAAAUAAUAAACUCAUUACUACUAGAAAUUUAUGGAUAAAAAUUGUUUCAUAAUGAUUGUUAUUUUUAUAAAUUCAUCAUUAAUACAUAUUGCAUUAAUGAUUAAAUUAUUAAUUUCUUUGAGUGUAUGUAUGAGCAACAUCUUACAGUGAUAGCAUAAUUUUUAACUUUAAACAAUCAAUAAUUUAAUAGGUAGUAAUACAUAUCUUUAAUAAUAGAUACAAUGAUCAUAUAAAUCUAUCAUUGUGGUAUUUCCACCAAGUUUGAAUUUAAUAUCCAUAUAAUGGUGCACGAUAUGGAGUUAGGCUAUGACUCAUUCAUUAGUGAAAAAUUUUUAAUUUUGCCAAACCUAGUUUACAUAAGCAAAUCCAUGCCAUAGGUUAGAGACACAAUCUCUAGGUGGGAGCCUAGGAGCCACAAUCCCUCUCUUUCUCUCUCUUGUCUGAUUGUCAUUUGGUAAUCUAAAAAUUUAAAAUUAGAAUUUUCUUCUAAUACUUUUUAAUCAAAAGUUUUUAGGGGGCUAUUAUUAAUUUUACUUACAAUGGGAAAAGAUAUUUGUUGUUUUUCUUUUUCAGUAGCAGUUAAAAAGGUUAUAACAUUUGAAAAUCACAAUUUAUCUUAACAAUAAAUCAAUAGAAUAAAAUUAAAAAUUAGAGUAUAAAUUAGUAGCAUACCUGAAACUAAUAUGAAGAUAUAAUAACAUAAAGUAAUUAUCAUUGAAUAAAUUAAAAGCAAAGCCAUUUCUUCUAUUACAAUAGUGAUGGAAUUCACUUCCAAAGCUUAUAGUAAAUCAUAAAGCAUAUGAAGAUCUACAAACAAAAUUUAUUGCCUUCGUGCAUGAUUUUUGGCAUAAGUCACUCUUCUUUUGAACAGUAGCCACUUGACAAUUUUGUCCACAAAAUCAAAAUAGGCAUCACACCAAGAUCUUCUUAUUGCUAAAACAAAAUAAGGAACUAAAAUGCCCACCGCAAAUCCCAAGCCAAUGCUUAAGUAAAACCACUUAUCAAUAUAGCCACCAUCAAUUUUGUCCUCAAGAACACUUUGCCUUUUAUCUAGGUCUUCAUCCUGACAUUUUGUGACUAGUGGAGUUCCACAAAGAUUCGGGUUUCCAGUAAAGGUCAACUCUGUGAAAGUUGUCAUUUGCCCUGCAAAGGGGAUCUUACCAGAGAAAUUAUUAUUUGAUAGAUUCAAAUAACCCAAGAAUGUUAACGAGGACAUGCUUGAAGGAAUGGUGCCAGAAAGCUUGUUGCUUGAUAGAUCAAGAGAGGACAACUGACGCAACAUUGAAAUGCUUUCAGGAAUUUGGCCAAUGAUGUGAUUCAUGGACAAGUUUAGAAACACCAAACCAGACAAUUUUGUUAUUCCCUCGGGAAACUCUCCACUUAAAUUAUUGUCGGAUAGAUCGAUGCUAACAACAAGAGAAAGAGUCCUCGUGUAUUCAAGACUUUGGCCUUUUGUAAUCACAAUCAACCUUUCAUCAUAUCGAGAGCCAUUCCCACUGUGAUACAAAGAAUACAUAUCCAUGUUACGCUCCUGAGCCAUGGCUUUAAGCUCCACCAAAGUGGCUGGAAUUUUACCAGUCAAAUUGUUUUGUGCAAGGUCUAAGACAUGUAGGGAGCUUAAAUUUGAAAGUCGAUCGGGAAGUCUUCCAAAAAAUGCAUUCGACCUCAAGUUGAGUAUUACGAGAUUUAUGAAAGCAGUUCCAAUCCAUGAUGGAACCUUACCCGAUAAUUCGUUAUAACUGAGAUCAAGGAGUUCCAAACUUGAUAAAUUUUGGAAAGAUGAAGGAAGCUCUCCUAAAAGCUUGUUGUCAUUCAGGUGUAGUGAUUGGAGCGAUUGUAACCGACCUAAUGACUUUGGUAUCAUCCCAGACAAAUUGUUAUUUCCAAGGUCCAAAACAAUUAGGUGAGAGCAAUUAUUUAUGGUAGAAGGAAUGCUUCCGGUCAAAUUAUUCCUUGAAAAAUCAAUGACUUCAAGAGAGGUGAGGUGUCCUAUGGAAUUUGGGAUGGUCCCUGUUAUUUGAUUAUGAGAAAGACGAAGGUAACUCAAGUCUAACAAGGAUUCACCUCUGCUAAGUGGGAUAAGGCCAGAAAAUUUAUUAUGAGAGAGAUCUAGAAAUUCCACCCCUUUGAUUGAAAAAGGAAUAGGUCCUUCAAAGAGGUUGGAACUGAAAUCGAUUUGUGAAUAAGAAAAAUUCAAUGAAUUUGGUAACUAACCUUGUAACUGAUUGUGAGAAAAACUUAAGUAAUACAGAUUGAAAGAAAUAUUCCAAAACCAAUUUGGAAUAUGACUUGAAAUGCUAGCAUUUGAGAAAUCAAGAUACUGGAGGUUCUUCUGAGAUUGAAGCCAAACCGGAAAUGAAGGACCCAAGUGGCAUGAACCCAUAAGAAGAUAAUGCACCUGGAACGGGGGAACCCAAUUAGGACUAACAUUCAAACGGAAAGAAUUGGAGUCCAUGUUUAGAUACUCCAACUUACUUAGCUUCCAAAAAUGUUGUUCAGAGAGACUUCCACUCAAUUGAUUGGAACCAACAUCCAAUAAUUGCAAUUCUGAAAGCUGACCAAUACUAUCUGGGAGACUUCCAUUCAACUCAUUCAUUCCAAUGGACAGGGACUCCAGGUGUUGCAAUGUCCAUAAAGAAGCAGGGAUGGGACCUUCAAGUUUGUUGAAUGAUAAACCGAGGCUCCUAAGAUUUUUAAGCUCACCCAACCAAUUUGGCAAUUUUCCCAUCAAUUGAUUCUCAUACAAGUAUAACUCCGUCAAAUUAGGCAAAGGACUUUUAGAACUGCAGGUUUCAAAUCCCUUGAUAAUCUCAGGUAAACUUCCAUUCAAGUAAUUAAUACUCAAAUCCAGAUAUUUUAAGUUGCAAAAGUUUCCAAAAGAGCUUGGAAUUGGACCUAUAAUGAGCAAGAUUAAAAAAUAUGUAUUAAUUAAAAUUAUGUAAUAAACAAAUAAUAAAAAUAGUAAAUAACAAAAUUAAUUAAUUCAUGAACAAUUAAUUUAAAGAAAAAGUAAGAAAAAUUAUUAUUAUUCAUGAAUUGGUAUUUUUUUUUUAUCUUUUCUGAUAACCAUAAAAUAAAAUAAUUUAUUUCAAUGUUAUAAGAAUAGUAGGAUUAAUCAUUGAUAUUAAUUGUUCCUUUAAAAAUAAAAUAAUUUUUUUGAACAAAGUGAUAGUUCAAUGAGAGAAGAUAGAAAAUCAAAAUAUAAACCAAAGGAUUAAGAAAUCAAGUUAUCAAAAGAUAAAUUUUUAUUUUAGCGAUGAAAAUAAAGCAAGAGAAAACUAGGAAUUCAACCUAAUUUAAUAUCUUGAAACAACAACACUAUAAGAAACUAGCAAAAUUAAAUAAAAAGUGAGAAACUUAUAAUAAACUAAAAUUAGUAAAAUGACGAAGCAACAUGGUUUAUAGUCUAACUAAAAUAUACAAAGGAUAUGCAAUGAAAUGAAAUAUCUAAAUUAAUUGAGGAGUGAGGAUGUCCUUCAAUCAAAUUGUCACUCAAAUCUAAAUAUUUUAGAGACUUCAAUUUUAUCAAUAAAGGUCUGAUCUAAUUAAUUAAGUUUACAAGACACAAAACUCAUAUGGCAACAAUUACUUCCCCUUUAGGAUAGAGGUUAAUAUUAACUUCUUGAUUUGGAUUUUAGUCAAUUCUCUUAAUGAUGAAAAAAAAAAAAAAAAACGCGUUGUGUUUGGAACUUCUAAUGUUUUAUUUCUAAAGAUAGAAAUUCAUAGAAACCCUAAUAUAAAUAGUAAAACUUUACCAUAAAAAGUAAUGAUAUUUAAAAAUUGUUUUAAAAACCAUGAAUAUUAGAAAAAAAUUUACUAUCUUAAAUUUUUUAAAUUUCAAUAACAGUAUUUAAGAACAUGAAAUGUCAUAUUAUAUUCACUUAAUGUUCAAUUUUAUGGUUUCAAUUACUUGUCUCAACCAUGAAAUGUCAUAUCUCAAUAUAUAAAUUACAAUAAUUUGGCAUAAUAGAUGAAUUAUGGAGAGAAAAUAGAAAUUGAAAAUGUGCAAGAGAUGAUUGAAAGUUAUUUGAUGAUAAAGAUUCUUAACAAACGUAAAUUGUCAAAAUAGGAAUAUAAAUUUUUUUACUGUUUAAAAAAGCAGUAAUUUGGCAAUGUCCAUAAAGAAGUAAGGAUGUGACCUUCAAGUCUGUUGUCGAAUAAACUGAGUACCCUAAGAUUUUUAAGCUCACCCAACCAAUUUGGCAAUUUUCCCAUCAAUUGACUGUCAUCCAAGUAUAACUCCGUCAAAUUAGGCAAAGGACUUUUAGAACUGCAGGUUUCAAUUCCCUUGAUAAUCUCAGGUAAACUUCCAUUCAAGUAAUUACCCCCCAAAUUCAGAUAUUUUAAGUUGCAGAAGUUUCCAAAAGAGCUUGGAAUUGGACCUGUAAUGAGCAAGAUUAAAAAAUAUGUAUUAAUUAAAAUUAUGUAAUAAACAAAUAAUAAAAAUAGUAAAUAAAAAAAUUAAUUAAUUCAUGAACAAUUAAUUUAAAGAAAAAGUAAGAAAAAUUAUUAUUCAUGAACAAAAUAAAUUAUUAUUCAAAAGAUAAAUUUUUAUUUUAGCAAUGAAAAAAAUAUAUUUUUCUAAACAAUUAUUUUAAUUCUAAGUGGUUAUUCUAUUUAUUUACAAACUCCUAGAAAAUGUGAAUAAAAAAUUAUAGUUAUCUAAGCUAUAUACCAGUAGAAACUACCAUUAAAGAAUAAAGCUAGAGAAAACUAGGAAUUCAACCUAGUUUAAUAUUUUGAAACAAUAACACUACAAGAAACUAGCAAAAUUAAAUAAAAAGUGAGAAACUUAUAAUAAACUAAAAUCAGUAAAAUGGUGAAGCAACAUGGUUUAUAAUCUAACUAAAAUAUACAAAGGAUAUGCAAUGAAAUGAAAUAUCUAAAUUAAUUGAGGAGUGAGGAUAUCCUUAAAUCAAAUUGUCACUCAAAUCUAAAUAUUUUAGAGACUUCAAUUUUAUCAAUAAAGGUCUAAUCUAAUUAAUUAAGUUUAAAAGAGACAAUAUAUCAAAGUAAAAACUCAUAUGGCAACAAUUGCUUCCCCUUUAGGAUAGAGGUCAAUAUUAACUUCUUGAUUUGGAUUUUAGUCAAUUCUCUAAGGUUGUGUUUGGAACUUCUAAUGUUUUAUUUCUAAAGAUAGAAAUUCAUAGAAACCCUAAUAUAAAUAGUAAAACUUUACCAUAAAAAGUAAUGAUAUUUAAAAAUUGUUUUAAAAACCAUGAAUAUUAGAAAAAAAUUUACUAUCUUAAAUUUUUUAAAUUUCAAUAACAAUAUUUAAGAACAUGAAAUGUCAUAUUAUAUUCACUUAAUGUUCAAUUUUAUGGUUUCAAUUACUUGUCUCAACCAUGAAAUGUCAUAUCUCAAUAUAUAAAUUACAAUAAUUUGGCAUAAUAGAUGAAUUAUGGAGAGAAAAUAGAAAUUGAAAAUGUGCAAGAGAUGAUUGAAAGUUAUUUGAUGAUAAAGAUUCUUAACAAACGUAAAUUGUCAAAAUAGGAAUAUAAAUUUUUUUACUAUUUAAAAAAGCAGUAAUUUGGCAAUGUCCAUAAAGAAGUAGGGAUGUGACCUUCAAGUCUGUUGCCGGAUAAAUCGAGUUCCCUAAGAUUUUUAAGCUCACCCAACCAAUUUGGCAAUUUUCCCAUCAAUUGAUUGCCAUUCAAGUAUAACUCCAUCAAAUUAGGCAAAGGACUUUUAGAACUGCAGGUUUCAAUUCCCUUGAUAAUCUCAGGUAAACUUCCAUUCAAGUAACUUCCCCCCAAAUUCAGAUAUUUUAAGUUGCAAAAGUUUCCAAAAGAGCUUGGAAUUGGACCUGUAAUGAGCAAGAUUAAAAAAUAUGUAUUAAUUAAAAUUAUGUAAUAAACAAAUAAUAAAAAUAGUAAGUAACAAAAUAAAUUAAUUCAUGAACAAUUAAUUUAAAGAAAAAAUAAGAAAAAUUAUUAUUCAUGAACAAAAUAAAUUAUUAUUCAAAAGAUAAAUUUUUAUUUUAGCAAUGAAAAAAAAUAUGUUUUUCUAAACAAUUAUUUUAAUUCCAAGUGGUUAUUCUACUUAUGUACAAACUCCUAGAAAAUGUGAAUCAAAAAUUAUAGUUAUCUAAGUUAUAUACCAGUAGAAACUGCCAUUAAAGAAUAAAGCAAGAGAAAACUAGGAAUUCAACCUAGUUUAAUAUUUUGAAACAAUAACGCUACAAGAAACUAGCAAAAUUAAAUAAAAAGUGAGAAACUUAUAAUAAACUAAAAUUAGUAAAAUGACGAAGCAACAUGGUUUAUAGUCUAACUAAAAUAUACAAAGGAUAUGUAAUGAAAUGAAAUAUCUAAAUUAAUUGAGGAGUGAGGAUGUCCUUCAAUCAAAUUGUCACUGAAAUCUAAAUAUUUUAGAGACUUCAAUUUUAUCAAUAAAGGUCUAAUCUAAUUAAUUAAGUUUGCAAGACACAAAACUCAUAUGGCAACAAUUACUUCCCCUUUAGGAUAGAGGUUAAUAUUAACUUCUUGAUUUGGAUUUUAGUCAAUUCUCUUAAUGAUGAAAAAAAAAACGCUAAGGUUGUGUUUGGAACUUCUAAUGUUUUAUUUCUAAAGAUAGAAAUUCAUAGAAACCAUAAUAUAAAUAGUAAACCUUUACCAUAAAAAGUAAUGGUAUUUAAAAAUUGUUUUAAAAACCAUGAAUAUUAGAAAAAAAUUUACUAUCUUAAAUUUUUUAAAUUUCAAUAACAGUAUUUAAGAACAUGAAAUGUCAUAUUAUAUUCACUUAAUGUUCAAUUUUAUGGUUUCAAUUACUUGUCUCAACCAUGAAAUGUCAUAUCUCAAUAUAUAAAUUACAAUAAUUUGACAUAAUAGAUGAAUCAUGGAGAGAAAAUAGAAAUUGAAAAUGUGCAAGAGAUGAUUGAAAGUUAUUUGAUGAUAAAGAUUCUUAACAAACUUAAAUUGUCAAAAUAGGAAUAUAAAUUCUUUUUGGAGUUACAAAGAAAGUAAAUUUUUUAGAUUUCAAUCUAAUGUUGUUUUUCAUUUAUUAAUUACAAGAUUUUCAAAAAUAAAUGAAUAGUAAAUUAUAAUUAUUUAAAUUUUAUAGGAACAAGAAACACCUUAAGAUAAACAUGACAAUCUAGAAUAAAACUUUGAUAGAAUAGUUUAAAACAAAGUAUACCAUGAGAAUAAACUAUUUAAUAACUAAAACUAGUAAAAUAUUAUAUAUAAAAAAAAGUGACACUAACAAAGUACGUAAUAUAUCAAUUCAACCGUAAUAUAAAUAUUCAACUUAGUGCAUACUCAAAUUAUUAUUCCCAAUAACAAAAUAAAUUGAAAAAAUGAGAGCAUGUCAAAAUCUUACUAUAGAAAUGAAAGCAUUAAAAAAAUAAUUAAUAUAAUAAUGUAUGAAAAUGAUACUACUAUUAUUAUUUAAAAUAAUAAAUAAUAAAUCAUUGAUCAACUAAUUUAAAAUAAAAAAAGGAGGUUGAGGAUUAAAAAAAUCAUAUUCCUAUAAGUACAAUUCUUUUAUUAGUUACAUAGACAUGCACCUUUUAUAAUCACUUACCCUUACACAAAAAAAUUGUUAAAUAAUAUAGAUACUUCAUAAGCAUAAAGUGUCAAACUAUAUACUUUUUCUUAGAUAAAAAAUAAAUAAAUAAAUAAAUAAAAAACCCUAAAUUUCCUUCUAAGAAAUUUAAAAUUCAAAAUAAUGUUUUAUUAGUAAGUAUAAAUUUAUUUCCACUAUGAGAACAAAAUAUAGUGAUUAUUUGAUAUUGUAUGCUAAUACAUAUUCAAUAAGAACUUAUAUACACAAUCAUCAACUAUAUAUAUUUAAUUACACAUUUACAUACAAACAAAGAAAUAUCAAUUUUUCUAUUAAGAGAAGAACUUACCAUGUAAUUCAUUUCCACCAAAAUUGAGAAAUUCUAUCUUUUUCCAACUCUUCCUCAAUAGUUGAGAGAUACUGCCCCGGAGAUUGUCAUUCCCAGAUAGAUCUAUGUAUUGCAAAUUGGGUAGCUCACCAAGACCAAGUGGAAUCCUCCCAUGUAAUUGAUUGUAGCUUAUAUCAAUGGAUCCAAGGCUGCUAACAUUUAGAAGCCAUUCCGGAAACAUAGAAAUGAAUUGGUUCGAGUUGAUGCUUAUAACAAGAAGUGAAGUAAAGUUAACAAAGCUUGGAGAUGGAAUUGAGCCAGAGAGGCUACAACCAUCUAGAUGCAACUCUGUUAAAAUUGGAAGUUUGUUUAUCACCUCGACCCAUUCACUUCCUACUGAUGAGAGGUUAACAUAAUCCAUACCAAGAUACUUCAAGGAAACAAGACUAGCCAUCCAUUCAAUAUUGCCAAUAGAUAAAUCAUUAAAAUAUUCAAAAUAUUCAAAAUAUUCAAAAUCAUCAUAACUCAGAUCUUCAAAAGAAAGAUCAAGAUACUGCAAAUUAGAAAGAUUUCCAAAAUUUGAAGGAAUUGUACCACUAAACCCAGCACCUGAUAAGUUUAGAUAUAGUAAAUUCUUCAAAGACCCGAAUAAUUGAGGAAUUGGCAUGCCUUUGAAUGAGUUGAAACUCAAAUCUAGAUAUUUCAAAGACUUGAGUUUUGUCAAUGAAGGUCUAAUUUCUCCACUCAAGUUCAUAGAGCUCCAGUUCCCAUAUACAUUCUCACGAGGAUAAGGGUUAUGAAGAUCAAUGGAAAUGACAAUUCCUGUGUCUUUUUCACAAGUAAUUCCUUGCCAAUAGCAAUAAUUGCUUCCUUUCCAUGAUGAAAGUCGAUUGUUGGGAUCUUUGAGACCACUUUUGAAGUCAAUAAGAGCCUCUUGUUCAGAUUGAAUGUUGUUGCUCAUAUGGGUAUAACCAUUACAUGCAAGUUCCGUUGUUAUGAAAUAGAGAAUGGCUAAAAUGAAACCAAGAAUUGAAAUUCUCUCCAUGUAAAUAUUCUAAGUUGAGCACCUGUAAAAAUUGAAUUCCAAUAUGUAGUCAGCAUUUUCUUGAAUUAAAUUAAAAUUUUAUUUUUGACAUCAAAAUGAAAAAUUGAUAAAAUUAAAAAGACAGUUGCAUCAACAUGACAAACUUAUUUUAACCGACACAUUUAAGAAAUGUCACCAGUCUAAUAUAAUUUUAAAAGAUCUACUCAUAGCAUAUGUAAAUAUAUACUAAGAAAAACAGUAGUAAUCAUCUCAUAGAUAUUCAACCUUACUUUGAUUGGCGAGAACUGAAAUCACCUACACGAGAGUUAGAAGGAUUAGAUAGAAAAGCACAUUAAAAGUAGUUUAUCAAUAUUAGUCGAGUUCAACCUUACCUGAAACUUCUUUCUUGUUUUCCUUGUUUUUUCAAUUCAACUAAAAUAUAUAGAAGAUUGCUUAAAGUGAUGACAAUGAUAGCCUCACUUUCUUAUUUUCCUUGUUUUUUCAAUCAUAUUAAAUUCUAAUUGAGUGGAAAAUGACUCAGAGUCCUUACCUCCACCACAAAAAACCAAGUGUCUUAAUUGAAGACCUUCACUUGAAGAUAAAAAAGAUGUGGAUUGAAAGACCAUGAGUUGGCACUAAGUCAAGGUCAAUAAGAUUAAAAUAAACANNNNNNNNNNNNNNNNNNNNNNNNNNNNNNNNNNNNNNNNNNNNNNNNNNNNNNNNNNNNNNNNNNNNNNNNNNNNNNNNNNNNNNNNNNNNNNNNNNNNNNNNNNNNUAAAAAAAACUACACUUGUUUAAAUUUUGAAAGAUCUUAAUUGGGAAAAAUAAAAUAUGUAUAUCAAGGUGCUAAGAAUAAGUCAAGAGCUUAGAUCAUUCAACAUACAAAAAUAGUAUUGAAUCGAUGGGCUUAUUUGGUGGUAUAAUUUAGAAAUUCAUAGCACUAUUUGGCAUGUUUUAUCCCAAAAACAAAUUUUUAAAAUAAAGUUAAACAGAGAACAACUUUUAGAAAAUAAAUAAAAUUUCUUCUCACUUGUUUUUAAAAACAAAAGGAAAACAUAAAAAAAAAUAAUAAAUACAAUCUCUUUCUUCUUUCAUUUUUUCUUUACCAACCAAUGAUACAAAAUCAUCAAAUAUGAUCUUUCUCUUAAUUAUACGUAUUUUUUUUUUAUUUUCUUUAACUUCUCUAAUUUUUUUUAUUAGGCAUAUAGAUUUUGAAUCAAAUAAUACUUAACAUAAAGGAUUUAUUCAUUUUAAAAAUAAUUUGAAACUCAAAAUCAAUUUAAUUAAUACUAAAUUGUCAUCAAAGUUAAAAGUUAAUUUAAUUAAUACAAAAAAAGUCAUGAACCAAAAUUUAUCAUGGAUGACUUUUUUAGUUUCUUAUUACAACACAUAACUAUAUUUUUUUGAAUUUUUUACUAGAAAAAUAAAUUAAAUCUAGCAAAACUUAAUGUUUCGAUCCUUUAAUGAAUCUAAUAAUUUUUAGAAAUACUUUCAAAUUCACAUACGGACUCAAUUAAUAGCAUAAAUUUAUAGAUAAAAAUGGUUUAUAAUGACUCUUGUUGUCUAUUUUCUGGGUAGAACUAUAAUUUUUUAUUUUUUAUUACUAGACGAAUAGACCUCAAAUCAAGAAAAAAAACUUAAUGUUUUGGGUGUUUUAAAAAUUCUAUUACUUUUAAAGAAUUAAUUUGAGACUUAAAUUACAUUCAAGUAAAGCAUCCUUUAAAAUGAAAAAAUAAAAUAAAAUAGUUUGUAUCUUUUUCAUGACCCAUUAAUCUUGUAAGAAUCAUAGAUCACGUUGUUUGAUCAUGAUCGAUGAUUAACGAACUUUAUUCUCUAUGUAGUGUUGACUACGUUAUCAAGUCAAAAAGUUAUACCGUGUUCAAGUAAGACAUCUUCCAAAAUUUUAAAAAAUAUAAUAAGAUAAAAUAAAAUAAAGGCCUUGACUCAAUUCUUUUUAUCAUGAAGGUCAUUCUUCACCUAAAAAAUAAAGUUAACAACUUCACAUCUAAUUAUAAUAUUGGAUAAAAAGAAGUGUUUAAUAGUGAUCAAAACACUGAUUUUAUAUCAUUAUACAAAAUUAAAGGAAAUAAUCAACUAGUCAAGAAAUGAAUUGAUUAAUUGUUACCUUUACCAAAAUGCCUUAUUAUAUAUUAUAGCUUUUCUUUAAAUAAAAUUAAAAGAAAAUUGUCAAAUAGCACCAUAAUAAAGGGAAAAUUGAUCUUAGUCCACAUUACUACUUUUGUUCAAACAAAAUUAAAAUAAAUUUUGUGAAAUAUAUCAAUAAAAAAGGAAAAAUACUUGCAUGAAAAGAUAGAUUUUUUUUUUAAAGCAAAAUGUUACUAAAUAAAGGGAAAAUACUUGUAUAAACUAGUUUAUCUAAAAUUAGACCUUGACUUAGUAUUUAAUAAAUAUAGGAAGGAGAACAAAUAUAUAUGUCAACCAUACCAUUAAUUUUAUCUUAAUGUAUAAAAAUAAAGAUAACUAUUGGAUAGCCAAAAAUAAUAAUAAAAUUAAAUAUUUAUUAUCCAUAAUUGUAAAUUAUGAAAACAUUGAAAAGUUAUUUUAAAUCCAAAUAUGUCAAAAUAACAUCAUUAAUAUAAUUGCUUUCAAUUCAUUUUUACACACACAUAGUAGAUUAAACAUUAUAUCUAUCUUGCAAUUUAAGUAAUCACUUUUGACUUCAAAGGAAAAUGAUAUUAGAAAAUAAUAUGAUCCAACCCAAAAACAUAAUUUCUUUAAGUUCCAACUAAUGAGAAACAUACACAUGCAAUAACCUUAUUACAAUAUAUUAGUUUCUUCCAAUUUAUUUUUUUUAAUUUUUUAUUAUUCAAAUAUCUAAUAACCUAAUUUGCCUAAAAUUAAUCAUGACAAUGAUUAACCAUCUAAAAUCAAAUCAUAAUGUCCAUUUUUUUCUUGAUCAUAAUCCACAAUAAAGAAUAUUUAUUUUGAAUGGAGUGUAGACCACAUUAUAAAGUUUGUCAAUUCAAAUAGUCAUAUGGAUAAUAAAUAACUAUUUUAAAAUCAUAUUAGAAUAGUUUGUAUUGUUAUAUGACCCAUCAAUUUUGUAUGAAGUGUAGACUACGUUGUUUGACUAUGACCGAUGGUAAUGGAAUUUUAUUCUCUAUGUAGUAUUGAUCACAUUAUCAAGUCAAAAAGUUAAAUUGUGCUCAAGUAAAACAUCCUUUAAAAUUUAAAAAAAAAAAAUCAAAAAUCAAAAGACCUUGACUCUUUCAAAAUUAUGGGUUUUGAAAGUUGGAAGUAAAAAUGGAGAAGGAAAAACCAAGAAAAAAAAGGCCCAUAUAUUAGGCCCUAGUAAAAAGGAAACAAAGGUUUUCGAAAAAGGAAAAUUAAAUAAAAUAAAAAUUCCAACGAGCCAAAAGUUGCCCAGAAAAUGGGCUGAAAUAGGGGCUAAAUAAUAAUAAUAAUAACCAUACAUCCGUAUUGAAGGUGAUAUCUUUUGAAACAUUCAAGUCCACGUAAGAUAGUAAUAGAUAAGAUGAUAAUAGCCUUACAACCAUAUUGAAGAGUGAUAUCUUUUGAAAUAUUCAAGAUCUUACAACGUUGAAGUCAAUGAAAAAUGUUGUCCACACAAGAUGAUAAUAACUUUACAACCAUAUUAAAGGAUGAUAUCUUUCAAAACAUUCAAGACCUUACAACCACAUUGAAAUAUUUUAGACCUUACAACAUUCAAGUCUAUCAAAAAUGUUGUCCACACAAAAUGGUAAUGAAUAAGUUUAAUAUUCUCAAAUUAUUAUAAAUCAAGCAAAGUCUAGCUUGGCCAAUAAUAUUAUAAAUUUUAAAAUUAAUUAUCUACAAUUAUAAAUUAUUUAAAGUUAUUUUGAAUCCAAAUAUGUCAAGUAGCAUCAUUAUUAUAAUUGCAUCCAAUUUAUUUUCCUAUACACACAUAAUAGAUUAAACACUAUAUUUGUGUUGCAACUAAAGUAAUCACUUUUUACUUCGAAGGAAAUUGUGUUAGAAAAUAAUAAGAUCCAAACCACAACUUAAUUCCUCAAGUCCCAACUAAUGAGAAAUAUACACAUGAUAUAAUCUUAUGAUAAUAGAUUAGUUCCUUCCAAUUAUUUUUUAAUAUAUAAAUAUCUAAUUACAUAAUUUGUCUAGAUUUAAUCAUGAAUAACGAAUAACCAUUUAAAAUCAAAUCAUAAUAGUCCAUUCCUCCGGACCCACAACUAGCUCCUCCCCACUUCUUCCAAAGUCUUCACAAAAGAUUCUUAUUUCCACCUGGGAAUCUUUUAUUAAAUUUUUAAUUCUAUAAUGCUUUCUCAUUGCAAAAUUAGGGUCUUUUUAAUUUUUAAUUCUAUAACCCAUAAAAACUUAACAAAUAAAUAAAAUUUUAUAGAUUUAUAUAUAUAUAUUUUAUGUUCACUAAAACAUUAUCAUUUUUUUAACAAAAAAAAACAUAAUUUGUAUUUUUAUUAUAUAUGAAAUUUAUCAUUACAUUAUUUAUUGAAACAAUUAUCAUCCUUUAUUUUGUAUUUAUUUCUUAUAAUUUAGUUUUUUUUAAGUAAAACAAAAUUGGUGUGAAUUUUUAAAAUAUUAUAAUUUAUAGAUAAAUUUUUUCAAAUAUUAAUAUUCAUUUUUAAUGAAAAAAUAUAGUUAAAAUGUUUAUCUAAAAAUUAACAAUUUCACAAACUUUUAACAAAAUAUUAAAAAAAAAAAAAUCCACGGGAUUUGUUUUCUUUCAUGGUUUUAUCUAUUUUCUCAUAUUAUCCUUAGAAAAAUGAAUUUAUAUUAAAAAAUAUUAGUUGAUAAGAUAACAACAAAUCAAUUUACUACAUAACAUAAAUUAAUAAAACCACUAUGAUAUUUUAAACACUAGUGAUUUGUUUCUUCAAAAUUAUUUUUGAAAAAUUAUCCAAAAGUCUACAUUUUUUUUUAAAUAACCCAAAUGUUAAGGUUCAAUAAUAUUUUAUUAAGGUUGUUUCUUGAAAUUAAUUUUCUAGAUAGAAAAAAGGUUUUCUAUUUUUUUUUAAGUAAUCACUUUUGACUUCAAAGGAAAAUGAUAUUAGAAAAUAAUAUGAUCCAACCCACAAACUUAAUUCCUUUAAGUUUCAACUAAUGAGAAACAUACACAUGCAAUAACCUUAUUAUGAUAUAUUAGUUUCUUCCAAUUUUUUUUUAUACAAAUAUCUAAUAACUUAAUUUGCCUAGAUUUAAUCAUGGACAAUGAUUAACCAUCUAAAAUCAAAUCAUAAUGUCCAUUUUUUUCUUGAUCAUAAUCCACAAUAAAGAAUAUUUAUUUUGAAUGAAGUGUAGACCACGUUGUAAAGUUUGUCAAGUCAAAUAGUCAUAUGUAUAAUAAAUAACUAUUUUAAAAUCGUAUUAGAAUAGUUUGUAUUUUUAUAUGACCCAUCAAUUUUGUAUGAAGUGUAGACUACGUUGUUUGACUAUGACGGAUGAUAAUGGAAUUUUAUUCUCUAUGUAGUAUUGAUCACGUUAUCAAGUCAAAAAGUUAAAUCGUGCUUAAGUAAAACAUCCUUUAAAAUUAAAAAAUAAAAAAUCAAAGAACCUUGACUCGUUCAAAAUUAUAGGUUUUGAAAGUUGGAAGUAAAAAUGAAGAAGGAAAAACCAAGAAAAAAAAGGCCCAUAUAUUGGGCCCAGAAAUUAGGCCCUUGUAGAAAGAGAAAAAAGGUUUUAGAAAAAGGAAAAUUAAAUAAAAUAAAAAUUCAAACGGCCAAAAGUUGCCCAGAAAAUGGGUGAAAUAGGGGCCAAAUAAUAAUAAUAAUAACUAUACAUCAAUAAUGAAGGUGAUAUCUUUUGAAACAUUCAAGUCCACAUAAGAUAGUAAUAGAUAAGAUGAUAAUAGCCUUACAACGAUCUUUUGAAACAUUCAAGUCAAUGAAAAAUGUGUCCACACAAGAUGAUAAUAGAUAAGUUUAAAUAAUAAUAAUAAUAAUAAUAAUAAUAAAACCUUACAACCAUAUUGGAGGGUGAUACUUUUUGAAACAUUCAAGUCCACACAAGAUGAUAAUAACUUUACAAUCAUAUUAAAGGAUGAUAUCUUUCAAAACAUUCAAAACCUUAAAACCACAUUGAAAUAUUUUAAACCUUACAACAUUCAAGUCUAUGAAAAAGGUUGUCCACACAAAAUGGUAAUAGAUAAGUUUAAUAUUCUCAAAUUAUUAUAAAUCAAGCAGGUCUAGCUUGCCAAUAAUAUUAUAAACUUAAAAAUUAAUUAUCUACAAUUAUAAAUUAGUUAAAGUUAUUUUGAAUCCAAACAUGUCAAGUAGCACCAUUAUUAUAAUUGCAUCUAAUUUAUUUUCCUAUACACACAUAAUAGAAAAUAAUAAGAUCCAAAUCACAACUUAAUUCCUUAAGUCCCAAUUAACGAGAAACAUACAAAUAUCUAAUUACAUAAUUUGUCUACAUUUAAUCAUGGACAAUGAGUAAUCAUUUAAAAUCAAAUCAUAAUAGUCCAUUCCUUCGGACCCACAACUAGCUUCUCUCCACUUCUUCUAAAGUCUUCACAAAAGAUUCCUACUUCCACCAGGGAAUAUUUUCUUAAAUUUUUAAUUCUAUAAUGCUUUCUCAUUGCAAAAUUAGGGUCUUUUUAAUUUUUAAUUCUAUAACCCAUAAAAACUUAAUAAAUAAAUACAAUUUUAUAGAUUUAUAAUAUAUAUAUAUAUAUAUAUAUAUGUUCACUAAAACAUUACCAUCUUUUUAACAAAAAAAAAAAACAUAAUUUGUAUUUUUAUUAUAUAUGAAAUUUAUCAUUACAUUAUUUAUUGAAACAAUUAUCAUCCUUUAUUUUGUAUUUAUUUCUUAUAAUUUAGUUUUUUUUUUUUGAAGUAAAACAAAAUUGGUGUGAAUUUUUAAAAUAUUAUAAUUUAUAGAUAAAUUUUUUCAAAUAUUAAUAUUCAUUUUUAAUGAAAAAAUAUAGUUCAAAUGUUUAUCUAAAAAUUAACAAUUUCACAAACUUUUAAUAAAAUAUUAAAAAAAAAAAAAAGUCCACGGGAUUUGUUUUCUUUCAUGGUUUUAUCUAUUAUCUCAUAUUAUCCUUAGAAAAAUGAAUUUAUAUUAAAAAAUAUUAGUUGAUAAGAUAACAACAAAUCAAUUUACUACAUAAUAUAAAUUAAUAAAACCACUAUGAUAUUUUAAACACUAGUGAUUUUUUUUUUCAAAAUUAUUUUUGAAAAAUUAUCCAAAAGUCUACAUUUUUUUUUUAAAAUAACCAAAAUGUUAAGGUUCAAUCAUAUUUUCUUAAAGUUAUUUUUUGAAAUUAAUUUUCUAGAUAAAAAAUUAAGUAAUUACUUUUGACUUCAAAGGAAAAUGAUAUUAGAAAAUAAUAUGAUCCAACCCACAAACUUAAUUCCUUUAAGUUCCAACUAAUGAGAAACAUAACAUGCAAUAACCUUAUGAUAGAUUAGUUUCUUCCAAAUUUUUUUUUAUACAAAUAUCUAAUAACUUAAUUUGCCUAGAUUUAAUCAUGGACAAUGAUUAACCAUCUAAAAUCAAAUCAUAAUAAUCCAUUUUUUUUCUUGAUCAUAAUCCACAAUAAAGAAUAUUUAUUUUGAAUGAAGUGUAGACCACGUUGUAAAGUUUGUCAAGUCAAAUAGUCACAUCGAUAAUAAAUAACCAUUUUAAAAUCAUAUUAGAACAGUUUGUAUUUUUUUAUGACUCAUCAAUUUUGUAUGCAGUGUACACUACUUUAUUUGAUUAUGACUGAUAAUAAUGAAAUUUUAUUCUCUAUCUAGUAUUGAUCACAUUAUCAAGUCAAAAAGAUAAAUCGUGCUCAAGUAAACAUCCUUUAAAAUUAAAAAAAUUAAAAAUCAAAAGACCUUGACUCGUUCAAAAUUAUGGGUUUUGAAGGUUGGAAGUUAAAAUGGAGAUGGAAAAACCAAGAAAAAAGGCCCAUAUAGUUGGCCCAUAAAUUAGGUCCUUGCAAAGAGAAAAAAAAAAGUUUCAGAAAAAAGAAAAUUAAAUAAAAUAAAAAAUGAAAUGGCCCAAAAGUUGCCUCGAAAAUAGGCUGAAAUAGGGGCCAUAAACUGUCUCUGUAAGAGAAAAAAAGCUUCAUAAAAAUUAUGAGGCCCAAAAUUGGCCCAGAAGUUGGGCCCAGGGAUCUGACCCAUAAAAGGGCCAAAAAGGCUGGCUGGGAGGGGAUUAAAAAAAGGGCAAACUGGCCGAGCCCAUGAAAAUGGGCCAAAAUUAGGCCCAGCCCAUUUUUAUUGGGGUGGGUAUGGUGGGGGUGGGCUUCGCUUGGGUGUGGGUGAGGGGAGGGUUGCCUAAUGACACGGUGCCAUGUGGCAGCUCCAAUUGAGGUGCAGAACCCCACUUUUAAGCCCAUAAUUUAUAGUUUGUUUUCGGUCAAUAUUUUAAAUAAAAUUAAAAGAAAAGUAAUUAAAUAAUAAGAUGUGAUUAUGAUUUCUGUUUAUCUCCUCAUACUCCUUUGCAUGAUGCUUUAGCUCUACUGUAAAAAUACAUAAUUUAUAUUUUUUGUUAUUUAUGAAAUUUAUCAUGACAUGGUUUAUUGAAAUAUUUAUUAUCCAUUUGUUUUAUUUAUUUAAGUUAAAAAAAUAUUUGUGUGAAGUUCUAAAAUAUUAUAAUCCAUAGCUAAAACAUUAGAAAAUCAAAAUUAAAUAAAAUAAAAAUUCAAAGGCUCUAAAGUUGCCAGAAAAUGGGCCGAUAUAGGGCCCAGAAAAUGGUCCAUUUAAGGAGGCAAAAAAGGCUUCAGAAAAAUCAUAUAUGUAAAAAAAGAGAGGCCCAAAAUUGGCCCAGAAAUUAGGCCCAAAGAUGGGACCCAUAAGAAAGCCCAAAAGGCUGGCUGGUGGGGAAUAAAAAAAUAAAUAAAAAGGGCCAAAUUGGCCCAGCCUAGGAAAAGAGUUGAAUUAUAUUUAAUUUAUUUUUAUAUUUUAUUAAAAACUAUUUAUUUUUAAUUUAGUUAUAAUAAUAAAUUUAUUUUUUCUUUGUAAUAAGAUUUGAAUUAAAUUUAAUUUAUAUUAGAUAAAUUAAAUUUACAAAAUCAAAAUAAAAGAUUAUUUUUAAAAAGCAACUUAUAUAAAUUGGUUUUUUGUUUCUUAUUAUUUGAAAAGUGUUUUUAAAAAUGGUUUACACAAAGGCAAUCAAAAUACCCUUUGUGAGUGAUGAAUUGAAUUCCAUUUAUAAGUGGAAAUUCAUUUAUUUGUUGUAACCAUUUUUUAUUUCAUUAUCAUGUUAAGCAUAAUAACGAAUGAAAUGUCUAUUUGAACUCCUUGUUCAGUAUAUCAAACAUGAUAAUGAUAAAUAUAUUUUAAUAAGUUUAUAAAUUUUAUUUUACUAAUAUUUUAAUAAAUCUAUAAAUUUUAAAACUUAACAAAUAAAUACAAUUUUAUAGAUUUAUUAAAAUGCUAAGAUCUAUUUUUAUUAUUUUUUACUAAAAGAUUAUCAUUUUCUUAACAAAAAAAAUACAUAAUUUAUAUUUUUAUUAUAUAUGAAAAGUUAUCAUUACAUUAUUUAUAGAAGCAAUUAUUAUCUAUUUAUUUUGUAUUUUUUUUUCUUAUAAUGAAGUAUUUGUUUUAAAGUAAUUAAAAAUUUAAUGAUUAGGCUAUUAAUUUUAUCCUACAAAAAAUAAAUAAGGAGGAUUAUGAAAAAACAAUGCCAAUUACUUUUUGUCCCUUAACAAAAUAUUUUAUUGCAUCAAAACUAUCUUGUUUGAGACUUAAAAACAAUGAACCACUUCAUAUUGAUAAUAAAAACCUUACAACCAUAUUGGAGGGUGAUAGUUUUUGAAACAUUCAAGUCCACGCACAUUGAAAUAUUUUAGACUUUUCAACAUUCAAGUCUAUGAAAAAUAUUGUUCACAUAAAAUGGUAAUGGAUAAGUUUAAUAUUCUCAAAUUAUUAUAAAUCAAGCAAGUCUAGCUUGGCCAAUAAUAUUAUAAACUUAAAAAUUAAUUAUCUAGAAUUAUAAAUUAGUUAAAGUUAUUUUGAAUCCAAAUAUGCCAAUUAAGUAGCACCAUUAUUAUAAUUGCAUCUAAUUUAUUUUCCUAUACAUACAUAAUAGAAAAUAAUAAGAUCCAAACCAUAACUUAAUUCCUUAUGUCCUAACUAAUGAGAAAUAUACACAUGAUAUAAUCUUAUGAUAAUAAAUCCUUAUUAUCUAGAAUUAUAAAUUAUUUCAUUCCAAUUAUUUUUUAGUAUACAAAUAUCUAAUUACAUAAUUUAUCUAGAUUUAACCAUGGACAAUGAAUAACCAUUUAAAAUCAAAUCAUAAUAGUCCAUUUCUUCGGACCACGCAACUAGCUCCUCUCCACUUCUUCCAAAGUCUUCACAAAAGAUUCUUACUUCCACUUGGGAACCUUUUGUUAAAUUUUUAAUUCUAUAAUACUUUCUCAUUGCAAAAUUAGGGUCUUUUUAAUUUUUAAUUCUAUAACCCAUAAAAACUUAACAAAUAAAUACAAUUUUAUAGAUUUAUUAUAUAUAUAUAUAUAAAAUGUUCACUAAAACAUUGUCAUCUUUUAACAAAAAAACAUAAUUUGUAUUUUUAUUAUAUAUGAAAUUUAUCAUUACAUUAUUUAUUGAAACAAUUAUCAUCCUUUAUUUUGUAUUUAUUUCUUAUAAUUUAGUUUUUUUUUGAAGUGAAAUAAAAUUGGUGUGAAUUUUUAAAAUAUUAUAAUUUAUUGAUAAUUUUUUUCAAAUAUUAAUAUUCAUUUUUAAUGAAAAAAUAUAGUUCAAAUGUGUAUUUAAAAAUUAACAACUUCACAAUCUUUUAAUAAAAGAUUAAAAAAACAAGUCCAUAGGAUUUGUUUUCUUUCAUGGUUUUAUCUAUUAUCUGAUAUUAUCCUUAACAAAAUGAAUUUAUAUUAAAAAAAUAUUAGUUUAUAAGAUAACAACAAAUCAAUUUACCAUAUAACAUAAAUUAAUAAAACCACUAGGAUAUUUUAAAGGGAGAAUUAUCUUUUGGAGGUAGAUGAGCUCCCAAAUUAACAAAAGGUCCAUAUAACUCUUCAAAUUGAGUUGAAGGAUAUGAAAUAGUAACGGACAAAUAUACCCUUUAAGAACACAUAUAAAAUAUUUUAUUAAAUUAAGUUAAAUAAUUUUUUUUCAAUAAUUUUUUUUUUCAAAAAUACUAAGUUAAAUAAAAAUAGUUUUCAAAAAUAUUAAAUUAAAUAAUUUUUUUUUCAAAAAUGUUAAAUUAAUUUUUUUUUCAAAAAUACUAAAUUAAAUAAAAGUAGUUUUCAAAAAUAUUAAAUUAAAUAAUUUUUUUUCAAAAAUAUUAAAUUAAUUUUUUUUUUCAAAAAUAUUAAAUUAAAUUAAAUUAAAGUAUUUAAAAAAAUUAUUAAAUUAAAUAUUUUUUUAAAUAUUAAAUUAAAUAAAUUUAUUUUUUAAAAAUAUUAAAUUAAAUAAAAGUAUUUUAAAAAUAUUAAAUUACACAAAAGUAUUUUUUAAAAAUAUUAAAUUAAAUAAAAGUAUUUUUUCAAAAAUAUUAAUUUUUUUUCUCAAAAUCAAUAAAGGGCAUUUUUGGAAAUACUGAAGGAUGAUAUCUUCAACUCAAUUUCCAUACUUUUAUUGGGUUUUGGGCUCAAUUUGAAGAGUUAUAUGAACCUUUUGUUAAUUUGGGGGCUCAUCUACCCCCAAAACAUAAUUCUCCCUAUUUUAAACACUAGUGAUUUGUUUUUUCAAAAUUAUUUUUGAAAAAUUAUCCAAAAGUCUACAUUUUUUUAAAUAACCAAAAUGUUAAGGUUUAAUCAUAUUUUAUUUUUUGAAAUUAAUUUUCUAGAUAGAAAUAAGGUCUCUAUUAUUUUUUUAAGUAAUCACUUUGACUUCAAAGAAAAAUGAUAUUAGAAAAUAAUAUGAUUCAACCCAUAAACUUAAUUCCUUUAAGUUCUAACUAAUGAGAAACAUACACAUGCAAUAAUCUUAUUAUGAUAGAUUAGUUUCUUCCAAUUUUUUUUUAAAAUUUUUAUUAUACAAAUAUCUAAUAACUUUAUUUGCCGAGAUUUAAUCAUGGAUAAUGAUUAACCAUUUAAAAUCAAAUCAUAAUAAUCCAUUUUUUUCUUGAUCAUAAUCCACUAUAAAGAAUAUUUUGUUUUUUUGAAUGAAGUGUAGACCACAUUAUAAAGUUUGUCAAGUCAAAUAGUCAUAUCAAUAAUAAAUAAUCAUUUUAAAAUCAUAUUAGAAUAGUUUGUAUUUUUUUUAUGACCCAUCAAUUUUGUAUGCUGUGUAGACUACGUUGUUUGAUUAUGAUUGAUAAUAAUGAAACUUUAUUCUCUAUGUAAUAUUGAUCAUGUUAUCAAGUCAAAAAGAUAAAUCGUGGUCAAGUAAAACAUCCUUUAAAAUUAAAAAAAUUAAAAAUCAAAAGACCUUGACUCAUUCAAAAUUAUGGGUUUUGAAGGUUGGAAGUUAAAAUGGAGAUGGAAAAACCAAGAAAAAAGGCCCAUAUAGUGGCCCAGAAAUUAGGCCCUUGCAAAGAGAAAAAAGAAAAUUAAAUAAAAUAAAAUUUCAAAUGGCCCAAAAGUUGCCUAGAAAAUGGGCCGAAAUAGGGGCCAGAAAACUGUCCCUUUAAGAGAAAAAAAGGCUUCAUAAAAAUUAUAGGGAGGCCCAAAAUUGGCCCAGAAAUUGGGCCCAGGGAUGGGACCCAUAAGAGAGCCAAAAAGGCUGGCUAGGAGGGGACAAAAAAGGGCAAACUGGCCCAACCCAUGAAAAUGGGCCAAAAUUAGGCCCAGCCCAUUUUUAUUGGGGUGGGUAUGGUGGUGGUGGGCUUCGCUUGGGUGUGGGUGAGGGGAGGAAGAGGGGAGUGUUGCCUUAUGACACGGUGCCAUGUGGCAGCUCCAAAAAUACAAAAAUAAAUUUUAAACAAGGGAGGCCCAGAGAUGGGACCCUUAAGAGAGCCCAAAAUGCUAGCUGGUGGGGAAUACAAAAAUAAAAAAAUAAAUAAAAAGGGCCAAACUGGCCCAGCCCAGGGAAAGAGUUUAAUUAUUUUUUAAAUUAUUUGUAAUAAUAAAAUUAUUAUUAUUAAUUUAUUAAAAACUAUUUAUUUUUAAUUUAGUUAUAAUAAUGAAGUUUUUUUUUAUUUGUAAUAUGAAUUGAAUUAAAUUAAAUUUAUAUUAUAUAAAUUCAAUUUACAAAAUCAAAAUAAAAAAUUAUUUUUAAAAACAACUUAUAUAAAAUCAGUUUUUUGUUUUUUAUUAUUUGAAGAGUGUAUUUAAAAACAGUUUACACAAAGGGAAUCAAAAUACCCUUCAAUGAUGAAUUGAAUCCCACUUAUAAGUGGAAAUUUAUUUAUUUGCUGGAAUCAUUUUUUAUUUCAUUCUCAUUGCAAACAUUAUAAUGAAUGAAUUCAACAUUUCAAACAUGAUAAUGGUAAAUAUAUUUUAAUAAAUCUAUAAAUUUUAAAACUUAACAAAUAAAUACCAUUUUAUAAAUUUUAAAAACUGAUAAUAGCGUAAUCAUGGGUUAUAAGUAUACUUUUCUUUGGUUAAAAGAGUUUUAUAUAAUAUAUAUAGUUAUAAUUAAAGUGCUUCAAAGUUAAAAGGCCUUCUAAAUACUCUUUUAGCUCCAAGGGUUGUUCUUUGUAAGGUUUGGAAUAAAUUUUUUGCUUAUAUAUUAACUUAUUAAUUUUCUUGCAAAAUAAAAGGAGUCUUCUUUUCUCAUUAAAAUAAUUUGAGUCAUUUUUCCUUCUCAUUACGCUACAACAAAUGUGGGCUUUUUCUAUGUACUAAUUUGUACUUAAAAAAGAGCAUUUCUGGGUUGUUGCUAUAAUCAUUUUUUACCAUAACAAAUGAAUUUUAUAGCCAAAAGAGGUUAAAUUUUGCCAUAACAUGUUAUUUUUCACCACAAAAUAAAACUUGUACCAACACAUCACUUUUUUCCACAAAACAAAUUCACUUCACUUCGGUCAUGAUUUGGAUCCAAUCCACUUUGGUCAAGCUGGGAAAUUUAUACUCUAGAUGUAUACUCUAGGUUCCCAACAGGUUUUACCACUUGUGGUUUAGACAGCCAUUCAUCCUUGAAGAUGCUUCCCGACACAAAUAACUAAUCAUGCUGUUAAAAUUAUGCAAUCAGCCUAGAUGGAUAAGAAUGAGAAAAUUCAGAAAUGACAAAUACAAUAAAGAAUGUUGUCGAAAUUACCCAAUCAAGACGAUAGAUGCAUUCCUCUUUCGGCCUAUAAGUAGUGUUGCUUCUUCCAAGGCAACAAUUCCAAAACUGUAAACAUCUGCUUCUUCCACUGCAAAAUGCGAGUUUGAUUUUACACAAAUUUUCCAUUUGAAAUGAAGGAUAAACACUGGAGAUCAAAAGAAAAAACUUCUAGGAUGUGGUUUCCAAAGUGACAUCAGUUGAAUGGGCAAUCAUAGACUAGAAGAAAAACAAGUUGAAUGCCUUGAUGGUAUUUUUCACAAAAGUUUAGGGAGCUCAAGUGCCUACUGUAGGAAAUUCCUAGUUUUUAUUCCACUGAGUGCAAGGCUAAAAUUUUGGGGGGCUUUGGUUGGGUAUAGGUUGGUUUAGUCCCAAUCGACAUUAACCUAACCCAAUUUAUCAAGUCCAGGAAUCACAAGGAGAAUUCCUGCCUGAAACCAUUUGGAAAAUUAAAGGCAUAAAUGCCAUGUUCAAGCAUUAGUCAUUCCAAUACUUUCUUAUUUUCAUAAGUACUAAGCAGAUUAGGACCAUCAAAUCUAGAACUACAUUCUACUCUCAUUGCUCUCAAAACAGAUUAGCUCAAACUAAUUAUAAAAAAAAAUGAUAUUUAAUUCAAAAUUAACCCUUGUGCAUCCUUAUGAAUAACAAGUUGUUUUACACAUGAAAGGGGCACAAUCUGUGAUGGGAGCACAAAUCAAGGGACCUAAAAGAGUUCCUUGUUUGUGUUGACUGAGCCACCACUUAAAAGAUCAUAUUUUCUUAGGUUGACGAUGAUGGCAAGGUUUUAGAUUUUGAAUGCAUCAGAGAACUUGGAUGGAGGCAAAGAUGCUAAUGGUUAUUCUUGAAUGACCCUUUACUAUUCUGCGAGCAAUGACUCUCUGCCCACCCUUGGUUGCCUUGCUGCUCAUUUGUUGAAAAGGAAAACAUAAGUAAAACCUACACAUUUCUACUUUUUAACUUUCCAUUCUCUUAUAUGCAUGAAAUCUAAGAUAAUCAGAACACACAUCACAAAAAGAGGGCCUGAAAACAGAUCCUUGGUCCAAAAAAGAGGAGGACCAUGCUGAACAAUAUCUAGCCCGUUAAUGCAAGAUAUUGCAGCAUAACAUGAAAGAGAUUGAGUGAAACAAAUUUUUCAUGGUAAUUCCCAGAAUCAUAAGAAGUAUGAAGUAUGAAAUGCCAUGAGAGAUUCAUCACUGAGAGAUUCAUCACAAAAUAUACUUCAAAUCAAUUUGCAUACUCUCUAAUGGUAGCAUGUUAUCCUCUAGUUCAUUAUUUUCAUUAAUUGACACAGAAUCAGUAGAAAUAGAAUCAGAUUUUACUUGAAACCCUAAAACAGGGCUGACCUUAAAUUCCUGGUUGUUUGGAUCAAUAGACUUGAGCAUGAAGUCAUUAUGUCUAGACUUUGAAUCCUCCUCCGGCUAGGGCUUUGAAGCCCCACUCUCCUUCUAGGUUUCAUUGUUCUGCUCCUCUUGCCCACUUUGUGCUAUUUCAGAUACCACACUCUCACUAACCAUAGUGCUAGUUUCGACAAAAAUUACAUUUCCUGAAUAAAAUUUCAUUGAAAGAAUAUUAAAUUCUAUUAAUCAUGCAAAGUAAAAAUAAGACUAACUAAACAUUAGUUGCUGAAAAAUAUAAGAUAGGUGCACUACUUGAACUAUUGACUGUGAACCUGCUAAGACAUCAAAUUUUCUACCUUUCUUUCCAGAAAUUCUAAUAUGAUUCUGCACAACUCAACUAGAAUAACAUUAAAAUCUAGGCCAUUGAAUUUUUUACUUUUACAUGGGCUGCAUAUAUAUCCAGAUUAAAACCAUAUAAGUUGCAACACAAUAGCAUAACAACUAAUUCGUAGAUGGUCAUUCAGAAACAAUCAUCAGCCAAUUUAUGUGAAAUGAAAUGAAAUUCUGAAACCAUAGUACCCUGUUUGGAUACCAAGAAAAUAUAAGAAAAAUAAAAAAUAAUAAUAAUGAUAAUGGUAAUAAUAAUAAUAGUAAUCCAAAUCCUGAAUGCCAAAUCGUUCAUCAUUAAUUUCUCCCACGGAAUUAAACCUAUUAUAAGCACUUGACAUUAGUUGAGAGCGAAUUUUCAUUUUCAAAAAACCAGAAGAAAAUACGACACACAAUCAUGAAAAUUUCUCCCCCUCCCCCUAUCAAUUUCCUCUCGGUUUUCUCUGCAACCAAACGAAGGGUAAGGGUUUUUGAAAAAACUAAUAAAAAAAAAUCAAGAUAGAAGUGUUGACGAUUCCAUGCAAUAAAACAAAAGGAAUUGCUUAUGCGAGUAUAGAGAGGGAACCUUCAAAUCGAAGCUUUUCCUCUUCCAGAUUCUUCUUCUAAUCAUCAACACCGUCCAUUUCAAUAAAUUUCAGUCAAAUAUACAGAUAAUAUUAGACGCUUAGAUGCUGAUAGAGAGAGAAAGUAGAAAUUGUAAAAUUUUUAAAUCCAUCGACACUGCUAGAAACUUCCAAGCAAAUCAACAGCAACAGUGGUGACAAAAUUGAAUUUUUAUACAAAUACAAGUGCUAGGACUAGGCGGCUUCAAUAUCACUCUACAAAAAUUCAAAAUUCAAAUUGAAUUUUCUUUCAUUUUCCUAAACCUUCACGGCAACCAAACGCGAGUUGGGGCUAAACGUCUCCACACCACACCCUAAAAACUCCAAACAUCAAGAAUAUGAGACAAUCGACAAUGAAAACUCUAAAUAUCCAAAGAGAAAAAACAGAGAAUUGAAGAGAGAGUUAGAGACCUAGAUAGGUUGAUUGACUUGAGAGAGGUGAUCAGAGGAGAGGUGAGGCAAGAGGCCAAGCAGUGCGGAGAGAGCCAUCUCCGAAAAGCCGCCCCCAUUUUAUUCAAAAAAUGGAUUCGGUUAAGCUCUGGAACCCCCACCACCACCACCACCAUCACUACACCACCGUCGCCUCGGUACUCAGAUGCAGACUAUAAUUAAAUUUUCGAAGAUGAUGACUCUAUGAUUGAGUACUAAAUGUUUGCAUGCAGUGAAAAAACUAACUUGUUUAUUUAAAAUAGAAUAGUAUUAACGGUUAUUAAUUUAUAAUAAAAUAAAUCAACUAUACUUUUAUAAGGAUAUACACUAAUAUCUGUAUUUUUAUAAUAUUUAUAUAAAUAGAAUUUAUGAUUUUACUAUAAUAUUAUUAUUCAUAUUUUAUUAAAAUUAUUUUAUUUUUUUAAUUUAUUUAUAAUUAUAAAAUUAUUUUUAUUUGUAAUAAGACUUUAAUUAAAAUUAGUUUGUAUUAUAUAAUUGAAUUAAAAAAAAAAAUAUUUGACAAAACAACUUAUUUCAACAAGUUUUUUAUUUUUGAUUUUUUUUUAAAUAUAGAGAAUUAAAAUACCUUUUGUAAAAGAUUAAUUGAAAUCCCACUAAAUUUAUCAUAAACAAAUAUUAUUAAUUAAUUUAUUUUGUAUUUAUUUGUUAUAAUUUAAUAUUUAUUUUAAAGUAGAUAAAAAAAUUUGUGAUUUUUUAAAACAUUAUAAUUCAUAGUUAAAAAUUUUCAAAUAUUAAUAUUCAUUUUUAAUUAAAAAUUAUAGUUCAAAUGUUUGUCUAAAAAUUAACAAUUUCACAAAAUUUUAGUAAAAUAUAAAAAAUAGAUAAAAAUAUUUAAAUGAUUUUUCAAUAGCAUGACAUUGUCAAAUAAUUUAAGUUUUUGCAGUUCAUUUGUUUUGUAUCAUUGUUUUUAUCUUUUAUCUAAUAUUAUUAUUGGCAAAAUGAAUUUAUAUUAAAAGAACUAGUUGAUGAGAAUUUACAACAUUUAUAAUUUAUAUUACCAAAUUUCAAUAUUAAUAUCUAAAUUUUAUAAAUUUUACAAAAAGAAAAAUUUAAUAAUAUAUAUGAAAUUAUUUAUUAAAACAAUUACUAUUCAUUUAUUUCUUAUAAGUUAAUAUUUGUUUUCAAGUAGAUGAUUUUUUUUUUUUGUGAAUUUUUAAAAUAUUAUAGUUCGUAGUUAAAUUUUUUGAAAUAUUAAUAUUCAUUUCUAAAAUUGUUCAAAUGUUUAUCUGAAAUAAAACAAUUAGUGAAAGAAAAAUUAUUUUUAAAAAAUAAUUAGCUAUUUUCUCUUAGACAAUUAAGUAAAAAACAAAAGGUCUAGCUUUGAUACCAAUUAUGAAAAAAAGCUAUUUUGAUUUAGAUAAUCAUUCAAGAGUGGGGUGAAUUAGGUAUUGAAACUAUUUUAAAAAAUAAUCAACUUAAGCAAGUUAUGUAAAGGAUAAGAAUGAAUAGAGAGUAAUAUUAAGAAAUUAAGGGAAUAAUAUUGCAAAUUGUUUUAUAAUGGUUUGAGAAGCUGCCUAUAUCCACUCUCCUCAAGCUGGUUACACUUAAGUAGUGUUUGUUUUUUUGGCUUUUUGCUGAAAGCAACUUAUUUUCAGAAGUUAGGUCGUUUGUUUUUAUACUUAGGUGCCCAUUUUUGGGAUUUGACUUGAUCCUGGUAACCUGUGGUUUUAGAGAAAUUCCUUGAUUACUCUUCUUUUGUUUCUAGACACCAAUCCUCUGCGUUCUGACUGAUGAUCUUCAUUCAAAUAUUUUGACAGUCAAUGAGCACCCUUACAACUCCUGUUAAGCCUCAAUCCUGGUGAUCCUCCGGAUUCAAUUUAGCAGGUUUGUACGUCCUGCUUAAAGUACACCUUACACUUGAACCUUAUGUGGGAGAGACAAUCCUCACUGUGCUUGACAAGCUUGACAUUCCUAGGGGCCAAUACAGAUUCAAUAUCUUCUCCUUACAAAAACAAGGACUUGCUAGAUUUCAGCCAAAAUGACUCAAGUUGGGCCCUGAAGCCCUUUGAAACACCCUUUCAGGUGGUUAAGAAAGCAAAAGGUGUUUGGUCUGUUAAGCUGACAAGUUUUCUAGAAAAACCAAGUAAUAGAACUUUCUAGGAUUUUUCAUUUGCUUCUUCAACACUGUCUUUGACUGUUGAUAAAUUCCUGCAGUCAUGACUGUAAUCGCAAGUUGUUAUUAGUCUGGCAAUUUGUUCUAUAUUCCCUAGUUGAAAUUCAAUUGCCCAUUUUUGGGAUUUGACUUGAUCCUGGUAACCUGUGGUUUUAGAGGAAUAAUUUAUAUUUCAUAAUGUAUCUCUAGGAAAUGAUGCGGUCAAGUUCCUAGAUCCAGAUUCAUACAACAAGACUGGGGGUUCUGCUUCUGCUCAAACUCAGUCAAUGGAGCCUCUUGAGUCGAAAAACAAUNUUAGACNNNNNNNNNNNNNNNNNNNNNNNNNNNNNNNNNNNNNNNNNNNNNNNNNNNNNNNNNNNNNNNNNNNNNNNNNNNNNNNNNNNNNNNNNNNNNNNNNNNNNNNNNNNNNNNNNNNNNNNNNNNNNNNNNNNNNNNNNNNNNNNNNNNNNNNNNNNNNNNNNNNNNNNNNNNNNNNNNNNNNNNNNNNNNNNNNNNNNNNNNNNNNNNNNNNNNNNNNNNNNNNNNNNNNNNNNNNNNNNNNNNNNNNNNNNNNNNNNNNNNNNNNNNNNNNNNNNNNNNNNNNNNNNNNNNNNNNNNNNNNNNNNNNNNNNCGAGCCAUGCUAAAAUUCUAGGCCUGCGGCCCGGCCUAUGAGCCCGCGGGCUGGGCCGCGGGCCUUUUUAAAUAAGCCAAAAUGGAAGGGAAGGGAGAGGGGGGGAUUUGAACCCCUCCCCUCAUGCUUAAAUUUCAAGGCUCUAACCAACUAAGCUACAUUCCUUUUAUGCUUAUUAAUUGAGUUAGUUAUAUAUAUAUAUAUAUAUAUAAAUAAAGUAUAUUAUUUUUUUAAAAAAAAUUAAAGGCUCCAACCCAUGUGGGUCAUGUGACCGUUGGAGCUAAGCCUCCAACGGUCACAUGGGCAAUUUUUUUUUUUUUUUUAAAAAAGCCUUCCUAUAAAUACAUUUUCUUCCUUUUCAUUUUUUCAUCAAAUUCUCUCCAUUUCUCUCACAUUCUACAAUAUUUCAAAUUCUUUUAUUUUUCCCUCAAAUUAUACAAUAUUGUUGGAGGUGCAAAACAAGCAUUGGUGGCUCCAAGAGUUCAAAUUUGCUAGGAAUUUCUGCAUCGGUUCUCUAAUUGAGUAACAUACUUCACCCCUACUACUUUAUUUUUUUGUUACAUUUUUUUUAUAUUUAUUACUUUAUUAUUUUUGGCAUAAUAUUUUAUCAAUAAUUAUAAUAUGACAAGUGCUUCUUCAUCUAGUCCAUGUGAUGAAAUAUCAUCAAACAAAAAAUUUACUUCAAAUAUAUGGAAUUUUUUUGAUAGAAUAGAAAUAAUUUUAGAAAAUAAUAAAAAAAAAAUAAAAGCAAAAUGUAAAAUUUGUAAUAAAUUUCUUACUGGUGGCUCAAAUGCAGGCACAAGUCAUUUAAAAAGACAUCAUGAAAAUUGUAAAACUAAAAAUAAUGUAGAUAUUAGAAAUUAUAUGCAAUUAGGUAAAAAUGAAAGUGGAAAUUUAAAAACAUUUUCUUAUGAUGAAUCUAACUGUCGUGAAGAAAUGGUUGAUUAUAUAAUAAGAGCAGAACAACCUUUCAACAUGAUAGAAACUCAUGAUUUUGCAGGAACAAUUCAACGAGGUAUUAAUCCUCAAUUUAAAGGUUGGUCUGGAAAUACAGUUAAAAGAGAUAUUAUGAAAAAAUUUUAUACACAAAAAGAAAUUUUAAAAUUUUUUUUUGCAAAUUUUGAAGGAAAUAUUUGUUUAACAUCUGAUAUUUGGACAUCUUUAACUCACACUGGUUUUUUAUGUAUAACUGCUCACUACAUUGAUAAUGAAUGGAAAUUAAAUAAAAGAAUAAUUUCAUUUAAAUUAAUAAAUGCUAUACAUAGUGGUAAAAAUAUAGCAUCUUUAAUAAAUAAUAAAUUAUAGAUUUAGGCAUUUGUGAUAAAAUAUUGACAAUAACAUUAGAUAAUGCUGCUAAUAAUGAUGCAGCAAUACAUAGACUAAAAUGAUAUUGGCAAGUAAAAGAAGAUCAUGCUAAAAUAUUUCAUGUGCGUUGUUGUGCACAUAUUUUAAAUUUAAUUGUGAAGGAUGAAUUAAAAAAUGUUGAUAGUACAUUGGAAAAAUUUAGAGGCAUUGCAUAUAGUAUUAAUAGUUCUCAAGCAAAACAUGAAUUAUUUUUUGAUUGUUGCAAAAUGUUAAAUAUGAAAAGAAAAAAUAUAAAUUUGGAUAUGGCCAUUAGAUGGAAUUCCACAUAUAAACUUUUACAAAAUAUUACAAAAUAUAAAAAAGUAGUCGAAUUAUAUGAAAUACAAUUAAUUAACAAUGAUUGUGAAGCAGAUAUUUAUGCAUUAAAUGAUUAUGAUUGGCAUAUUGCGGAUCUUUUAAGAGAUCUUUUUGAAAUUUUUGAUACUUCAACAAACAUUUUUUGUGGUGUAUAUUAUCCAACUUCAAAUCGAGUUAUUAUGCAAAUAACUAAUAUUUUUAUUGUACUUCAAAAAUAUUUAAGUUUUGAAAUGUUUAAUGAUACAAUAUUUGCAAUGAUAGAAAAAUUUAGAAAAUAUUGGGGAGAAAUACCUUUAAUUUUUUAUAUUGCUUUAAUUGUGGACCCUAGAUUGAAAUUUGAAGCUUUGGAUGAAUGGUUAACAAUUAUUUAUUUUAAUGACCAAAUAAAAAUUGAAGAAAUUAAAAAUGAAAUAAAUUCAUUAUUAUAUAAUUUAUAUAACUAUUAUAAAGAAAAAUAUGGUAAUGAUACUAAUACUAUUAAAUUACCACAUACAUCUACAAACUCCUCAUCUUUUUAUAAAGGAGCUCUAGAAAUGUUGAAAAGUCAAAAAAAGACAACAAAUAGUUCUCCAAAUAAUACAUUUGAUUUAGAUAAAUAUCUUAAUACUGAUAUAAUUUCAUUUGAAGAUCAAGAAGAUUUUGAUAUUUUAAUAUGGUGGAAAUCACAUCAACACAAAUAUCCUGUGCUUUCUAUAAUUGCUCGUGAUGUACUAACAGUUCCUGUGAGUACAGUUGCAUCAGAAGCUGCUUUUAGUGCAGGUGGAAGAGUAGUUAGUAAAAAACGAUGCAACUUAGCGCCAGAUGUUAUUGAAGCAGGGAUAUGUGUGAAAUAUUGGAAAAUAGCAGAUAAAAAGAUGUAUGAUUCAAUUCGAGAAACAGAGAUGCUUGCCGAUAUGGAAUCUUUAAAAUUAUCAAGAUCUUCAUGGAUGCAUGAUAGUUCGCCAUCAUCGCCAGAAAAUAAUGACUAAAUGUAUAUUAUAUUUUUAUUUUUAUUUUUUGUGGUUGAAAAAUACAGAUGAUUGACAAAUAAAUAGGUGCCAACCUAGUUGGGAUGUAUUUAUUUUGUAGUGAUGUAAACUUUUCCCACAUUUUUAAAUGUAAUUAUACAUUCAAUGAAUAAAAUUUUGAAAUGAAUAUUUUUUUUAAUACUUUUUAUUUUUGUAGUUUUUUUUUUAAAGGGGCGGGUCGGCCCGCCGGGCCUAAAUUUAGGCCUGCGGCCCGGCCCGCCCAUAAACGGGCUCGGGCCGAGCUUGGGCCCGGCGGGCUUGGGCCGGGCUUUAGUCUGUCGGGCCGGGCCGGGCCUAAAGAGGGCCGUGGGCCGCGGGCCUUUUGGAGACCCUUAGGUUAUACCAAUAAAUAAGUAUUAGCUCAAAAGUGAUGCAAAUUGUGGGUAUGUUGUUUAAGAAUAUAUACAUUUUCUUUUUUAUUUUCAUCCUUUAAGGCUAUGAUAUAUUUAGAGUCCAUUUGGUAGUGAUUCUAUAAAGCGCUUUUAAUAUUUGAAAUUGAAAAUUUUUGCUAAUUAUUUUAAAUAUUUUUUUUGGAGCUAUUAUUAAUUUUAAAAUAACUCUAUUAUUUCUAUUUUAUGUAGAAUUAUUAUUUUCUAUUUUUUUAACCUAGCAAAUAAGUUUCAAAUUAAAUGAGGCUUAAUGUGUUAGAUUCAUUAACAAGUUUAUUAAUUUUUGAAAAUAAUUUGAAACUCAAAUAAUAAACUCAUUAAUACUAGAAAUUUAUGGAUAAAUUUUUUUUCAUAAUGACUAUUAUUUUUUUCUACACAUAAUUAUAUUUUAAUAAAAUUUCUCACUAUAAAAAUGAACUUCAAAUUGACACUUUGUAUUAAAUUUAUUAAUAUGUUAAACAAUUUUCAAAAAUAAUUUGGAACUAAAAAAAUAAGUACAAUCAUAAAAAAAAAACAAUAGAUUAAAACUAAUAUAUUAUGAAUCAUAACUUUACUGUUUCUUCUAUAUAUACAAAUAUAUUUUUUGAAUUUAGGUAAAUAAAUUAUAAUUUGAGUAAGACAAAUUAAUAAUUUAAGUUCUUUAAUGAAUUUUUAAAUUUUUAAGAAUAAUCUUGAAUUCAUAAUUGCCCUCCUCCUAUGAGAAUGGCAUAUUGCCCACCAGUACACAAAAUAAAACCGAUGGAAGUAGGUAGAAAAUUAUUUAGGAAGAACCACUCAGAUUAUGCAGUAUGGUAAUGUACAUCAAUAAGUUGGAUAAUCAGCUAUAAAGUUGUAAUUUCCAUAAUGUUAUAAUGAUCUUCUACAGAGUAUCUGAAAAUAAGUUGAUGCUGAAACUUGUCAUAUUUUCAUAUGCCUUUCAAAGAUGGAUCCCUUUAGUUAGUCAAUAAUUGAUACUGGUCAAUUUCAAGUAUGCUUAACUGUUAUUCCUAAUUCUUUGUGAUGAAUCAAUCCUCACUAGUGAAAUGAUUAUGUAUCUGAAGUUUGAGACAACAACACAUUAGCAUCAAUAAAUUCUUGGAUGUAUGAUGGAGUUGUGAGUUUUCACAAUGGCCUACUGCUUCAUCUAUUACAUAAUGGUUUUUCUUUCACUUGGUUAAAUGUUUGUGUGAUUAUUUUUGGCUUAUUGGUUGGUCAAUCAAAUAUUGAACCCUUUUAAGUUGGUUCCUACAUCUAAAACUAAAUUGUUCAUGAAGUUUCUGAUUGCCUCAUCCUGUCUUUUCCAUUUAUGCAUGUAGGUACAAUGAAUUUGAUCAACCUGUCUGUAGGGUCUGUGAUGUCAUUUUGAAAUCUGAAUCCCUAUGGGAUGCACACCAAGCUUCUCGUAAACAUCAUGAGGUGAUGCUUACUGUCCUAGUUAUGUUAUGAAUAAAGCUAUUGACAAAUUGCAUUCAGAGGUUCUAUAGCAUGUACAAUCACACACGACACAAAAGAUUAUUGUAAUUUCAUUCCUUUAUGAUAGAUAAAUUCUAAAAUAAGAAUGCAGUGAAAUCAUGUAUGAAGAUAUCUACAGAUUGUCACACUCAAGAGUCGAUACAGUAGAAGAAAAACAUUUGUCUUUGUAUUUACAGAUUAACAUGUACAUCAAAAUGCAAUGAAUAUUGUCUAUCAAAAAAAAAAAAAAAAAAUACAAUGAACACAUGUAUUUGUGUAUCUAUUUAUACAUGCUAUUGAUUAUUUGCAUGUCAAAAUCAGGUUGUUUGAUUUUAAAAGAUUCUAUAUGGAUUCAAAAGAUGUAUGUGCUAGGGUCUUAUCUUUGCUACUGAAGCUAUACUUUUAAUAUGCUUUGUUUUUUUUUUUUUUUUUGAAAUUUAAUGCACGUUUCCUCUUAUAUAUUACUUUUAUGUUUAUUAUCUAUACAUAAUUAACAAUUCAUGAUGAUAUCAUCGAUCAUUAUUUUCCUGUGUUUCAUAUUGUAUCCUAAGUGGAAAUAUCAUUGAAAUCCUUCUAUACUUGUGUAAAAAAUAAACAGCUGUCAUGCAUAGAUUAUCGCAUAGUGUAUAAUUAUAAUUUUGUUUUUAAACAAAACAAACAAAAUAGGGUCUGCAACCCUACUCAGCAGCUGCCCAGUUGACAGCUCCAAUCUGGCUCUAUGCACCUAAAGAUUAUUUUGUACUUAAAAGGAACAAUUUAAAAAAAACACAAAAAGAAGAAAAUAUUUUUAAUCUGUCGUUGGAUGAAACAGGGUGAAUGAGCCCUAUCAGGGUAUAAGGUUUUUUUUUUUUUUUUUCAGUUUUUUUUUUUUAUCAUAAACAAUAAUUCGUUGAUAAGGAUUUGAAAGUACAUUUGAAGGAUGAGAAUUCCUUCCUGAAAAUAAAAAUUUUGAUUAAACAUAAACAAAUGGAUGAUUUCCCAAAAUGCAAAACGAGACCUCAAUAUAUUGCCAAAAGAAACCAUAGAAAGGAAAGACUAUCUCUAUGGGCUGAAGCUUUGCUCUAAGCUUAACUAUUUUGACUUUUAUGAUUCACACACCAAAUUCUAAUUGAGCUAGAGUCCCCUUGAAAGCUGUAGUUGUUGGGCCUCAAAAAGAGGAAUAGAGAUAAAUUAGGUUCCAUAUAGAUUUUGUAGUUCUCCACUUAUCCUAAAAAAUCUUUACAUUUCUUGUCUUCCAAUUUGCCAAAAUUUUUUGCCUCUAGAAUAAAGUGCUCCUCAAACCUCUAAAGGAUAUCGUCAUCAUGUCACCUAUGCUCCUAGGAGGAAUCCUAUUAAGUCUUAAAAGCUUGUUCCAUAGCCCCAAAGUCCUAGGGCAGUGUAAAAAGAGCCUGUGCCAUACCCUAUGCCUUGCAGUGUAUAAGUUGUGGGCUUAUAGUUAGCAAUUUGAUGUUUUUUCUUAGAAAAAAACUGAAUGCCACAAUUAUGGAGCUUCUUCAACCCAUAGGAAUUUUCUUUUAUCUUUGUCAAGCUUCUUCAACCCUUUUUCUUUUGAAACCUGCCCCUUCUUUUGAGCCCCACAGCAAUGCUGGCAAGAUUGCACAUUCAGAUUCUUCAUCAAACCCUUUAUAAAAAAAAAAAAAAAUAAGGAAAGAGAAAAUGGAAAAUGAUCUGCAUCUUUUUGAUCUGAUGUCUCGCAAAGUGUAAAGAACCCAUGCCUAGAGAAAAGAAAAAACAGCAAAACCAGCCCCAAAAAGGUUGUAAACAAGUCACCUAUUUGCAAAGAACUCGUGACUUGCAUCUUUUGUGCAACUCCUAAUGCACCUAAGUCACGUACAAUGUAAAAAAAUGCAGUCUAGAGUGCUUACAAGGUAUAAUGCAUGAAAAUAGGAUAAAUAAAAGUGAACUGAAACUUUAUUAAAUAAAUAAUAAAAAUCCACAUGUUUAUUACACCAUGUCAUGCUUUUAAGGGCUUUAUCCUAACAAUUGAGUCAUUCUUUCUUUAUCUACAUUUCAAAAUUCUUUCUUUUAGGAAUCCUUCCUUGGAUAGAGUUUUUUCCCUUUGUUUUUCUCAAACUUGAUUAACUUCUUAAAACUUUCUUGUGAUGGGUACAAGGUCCUCAUCUUCUUCACUAGCUUUUUCUUCUUCAUCAUCAAUGGUGGAGGCUUUAAGAGCAAUAUUUUUCUUCUUCUAAUCUUUCACUUCUUGAUGACUCUUCAUGAGUCAUCAAGGAUCCAAUCAAUUCCUCCAAAGGAAGUUUUGUAAGGUCCUUAGCUUAUUGGAUAGUCAUAACUUUGGCUUCUCAUUUCUUACAAAGAAAUCUUAGAAUCUUCAUGACCUCCUCUAAUUCCUUGUAAACCUUUCCCAAAGCUUGGAAUCCAUUAAUGAUGUCAGCAAACAUCUCAACAAUAGUUUAUUAUCUUUCGUAGAAAUAACUCAUAAUUAAGCACAAGAAUAUUGAUUUUAGAGUCUUUAACUUGAUUUGUCUCUUCAUAAGUUAUUUCUUAAAAUCUCCAAAUAUCAUAAGUGGAUUCACAUUGGCAAACCUAGUUAUAUUUAUUUCCUAUCAAUUGUACAAUGUAAACAUUAAUAGAUAUCUUUAGCAUUUAAAUGAGCUUUUCUUUUGUUAAACUCAUCCCACUUUUAGCUAGGUUUAGGUAUAACAACUUCAUUCUCAAUUUGGUUUAGAAUAUGGGGACCAUUUUGGAUGAAAAAGAUCAUAAUCAAUGGAUUUAAAAAUAAUGUCGUCCUAGUUUCCCAAUAGAAGUAAUUGAUUCCCAAAAAGAACAAAUAUAUAUUAAUCGAAAACCCUUCCAUAUAAGAUGAGUUGGAAGAAUUAGGUAUUUUCUCUUAGACAAUUAAGUAAAAAAACAAAAGGUCUAGCUUUGAUACCAAUUGUGAAAAAAAGCUAUUUUGAUUUAGAUAAUCAUUCAAGAGUGAGGCGAAUUAGGUAUUGAAACUAUUUUAAAAAAUAAUCAACUUAAGCAAGUUAUGUAAAGGAUAAGAAUGAAUAGAGAGUAAUAUUAAGAAAUUAAGGGAAUAAUAUUGCAAACUCUUUUAUAAUGGUUUGGGAAGCUGCCUAUAUUCAUUCUCCUCAAGCUGCUAAUAGGGUGAAGGUUACACUUAGAUUCCAAGGUUCCAAUAGACCUUUACAAACUCUUCAAGUAAAAUGCCUACUUGAAUACUUCUCUCACAAUAUUAAAUUUUGAAGCUGUAUCCGUAUAGAGGCCAAGGUGUUUUAUGUGUCAGGCUUUUGUUAAUAUACUGCACUGGAAGCUUAAGUGAAAGCUCUUGAGUCAUUUAAUGUUGGGCUCUAAGGUUUAUAUUUGAUAUAUCUCAUAGGAUAGUUCUCAUUUCAGUUACUAUUGGCCAGGUGAAAUUUCCAAUACACAGCUGCUAUUUUAUGGUUCCUAGGUGUAAACUAGUAACGCUUUCAACUUUCUUGUGACUUAUGGAAUGCUGAGUAGAUUGAUGCAAAUUUGAGUGUAUUCAAGAAAAUAAAGAUUUUUGUACAUGGAAUAGUAUAAUCUGUUCAAAAAGGGAAAAAAAAAUACUGCAGUAAUUUUGAAUGUAUGAUAUGAAUGCAACCUAUUACCGAUUCUGAGCAUAUAUUCUAGAGUCCCACCUACCUGAUGCCCAAUAAGCCGGAAGAGUUGCUAAGUCCUUGUUUCUAGCUGUCCACAUACUUCAUGCAAAUCCCCUAUCAUAUUCUUCUUUCUUAGUUUCUUGGGGCAUCUCUAUGUCUGGAGAUUCAUUGCAGAGAAAUUCCUUGAUUACUCUUCUUUUGUUUCUAGACACCAAUCCUCUGCGUUCUGACUGAUGAUCUUCAUUCAAAUAUUUUGACAGUCAAUGAGCACCCUUACAACUCCUGUUAAGCCUCAAUCCUGGUGAUCCUCCGGAUUCAAUUUAGCAGGUUUGUACGUCCUGCUUAAAGUACACCUUACACUUGAACCUUAUGUGGGAGAGACAAUCCUCACUGUGCUUGACAAGCUUGACAUUCCUAGGGGCCAAUACAGAUUCAAUAUCUUCUCCUUACAAAAACAAGGACUUGCUAGAUUUCAGCCAAAAUGACUCAAGUUGGGCCCUGAAGCCCUUUGAAACACCCUUUCAGGUGGUUAAGAAAGCAAAAGGUGUUUGGUCUGUUAAGCUGACAAGUUUUCUAGAAAAACCAAGUAAUAGAACUUUCUAGGAUUUUUCAUUUGCUUCUUCAACACUGUCUUUGACUGUUGAUAAAUUCCUGCAGUCAUGACUGUAAUCGCAAGUUGUUAUUAGUCUGGCAAUUUGUUCUAUAUUCCCUAGUUGAAAUUCAAUUGCCCAUUUUUGGGAUUUGACUUGAUCCUGGUAACCUGUGGUUUUAGAGGAAUAAUUUAUAUUUCAUAAUGUAUCUCUAGGAAAUGAUGCGGUCAAGUUCCUAGAUCCAGAUUCAUACAACAAGACUGGGGGUUCUGCUUCUGCUCAAACUCAGUCAAUGGAGCCUCUUGAGUCGAAAAACAAUUUAGACAGAUUGUCCAGUUCUCACUCUGAAAAGAUGGGAAAAAGUGGAAUUCAUCAUGCCAGGGACCUUACCCAGACAUCAGGAAAGAUUGUUGGUUCAGAAACCAAGGAAGUAAAGGGUGCUCUUCCUGAAGGCUUCUUUGACAACAAGGAUGCUGACCUUCGUGCACGUGGUAUUGUGCCUGUUAAGCCGGAUGUCAAGUAAGUUCUUGCUUCUGUUAUAUAAAUUUAUUUCUUUAAAAUGUCACUAUCAUCUGACAGGGAGUGUAAUAGAUUCUCUGGAAUAGUAUUCCCUUUCUUUGAUUCUUUUAUGUCCUCUAGUACUGUUUCUUUUCUAUCAAAUUAGAGAAACAAGGUCUGAGAGGGUCUCAAAAGUGUGUAAAGAAAAUUUGAGAUUAUAUCUUGUUUGAAGAAUUAUUUUUCAGCACUCACUGGUCCAUCAUUGUCAUUUUUGAAGCUUUGUCAUCUUUUCAUCAUCGUUGUUAUCAUCAUCGUGAUUAUCAUCUUCUAAUUUUUAACCUAAAAACAAAGCAAAUACACAGGUCCUAGGUUGUGCUUAGAAGCUUUAUUUUGGGCAAUUUUAAUUGGUGGAUAAAUUUCAUGAGUCCUUUUUGGAUGCUUGUGGUAGGGUUUGAGUGGGAAAUCUUUAACCUUCUCUUUGAUAAAAAUAUCAUUGGGAAAAAAAAUAGGACUCUGCCUAGUACUCACAGGUGUAUGUGAAUCCUGUACAUCACAACUGUAGUGUAGUGAAAUAAAUCUUGGUAUAAUUUAGCAGGGGAGGGUGUUAGAGAGGACUGGCUGUGUUAAAAACCUUAGUGAGCCUCAGUGGAGGUUUCUCUGAUUCGUGGGGAAGUUUAUUUUUGAUAGCGUAGGGACCUUUUAACCCUACAGCAUAAUGGCAUGUGUUUCAUUGGGUACUUGAGAUGAUCAGAAAUUACCAUGUAUGAUUGCAUUACUUGGAACACUGAAUUAACCUUGUUAAGAAAUGUUAAAUCCUGGUCAGGGACGAGUACAAAGAAUUUGAAAAGUUGAUACAGGAGGAUUUGAAGGAGGUGGACAACCGUUUGGAAGAAGAAGAGGUCAGGAUCAUUUAUUCCUUGCACCAUUCCUAGAACCCAAUAAUGUAGUCUCUGGUGAUGUUUACUAAAGAUUGGAGUUAUAUCAUUAACUUGGUUUUGCAAUUUUAUGAUGUAGUUUGAUGCAGCUGAGAUGAUUGAAGAGGCCGAGUCUGUGGAGCAAAAGUAAGUCAAGUGUGGUCACGAGUAGUGUAUCACUUGGGUUCUCCUAUAUUUCCAAUGUUUUUGAGUUGGCCUUUUGUUUAGGGUGUAUUGGGAGAAAGUGGAAAUGCUGAAGAAGAAGAAAUUGGAGCUGAAGGCGGCUAGAUCCGGCAGACAGAGUAAACAGCCUGAGGUCAGAGGCAAGGGGCAUAGCUCUAAAGAGGAUUCAUCCAGUGAUGAUGAUAGUGAUGGGAAAUUCAUGGUUGAUUGGAGAGCACAACACCUGUGAAUACUUCUGUUUGAAAUUUUCUAUGUCGCCUGUGCAGACAUGUCUAUGUUGGCAUGCAAACACCUGAUUACGUUUGCUGGAGUUUGGUGCUUGCUGCUUCUUUCAUUCUGAGCCAUUCUCCAGAUUUUGGUUCAACUGGCUGCUGAUUGAAAGGGAUGGGGAGUGAGGCGAGGUGAGAGUAAGCCCUGGUCCAAGAUCUGGGUUUUGGUUGAAACUUGAAUGGUGUAUCCCGAAUUCCGAUACUAAGAUUUAGGGUUUAAUGAAGACAAAUGGGUUAGGAAAGGAAUCAGUUUUAUGCUCUUAUUGUUUAUUUGGAAAUUUUGAGUUCUUUCCCGGUGUUGCUGGUUAUUAUCUGAAACACCUGCGCUACUUAACACUUAUCUUUUCACUACCUUCAAUUAUAUGGUGUAAUCGCACAACUGAAAUGCAAAAUUUUCUGGUGGGAUUAUCUCGUGAUUUCAGAAUCAUAAUUAAUUAAUAUUAUUAUUAUUAUUAUUAGGGGGUGGCCAUUUGGUGGUAAUAGUGGGCAAGUUACAGUCAGUUUCGUCGUGGGUUUAAAAAGUAGUUUUUCUUUUUCAAAAAUAAAAAUUAUUUGUUUCUAAUUUUUAAAAAUAAAGUGAAAUAAAGAGUAAGAGCCUGUUUGGCUGCGUGAUUUAAAAAUAUAUAUAUUUUUAAAUUUUUAUAAAGUAAAAAUUAUUUUUAAAAUUAUUUUUUAACUCAAAAACUGAUUUAAUUAAUAUUAAAAGUUAUGAAACUUAAUAACAUUAGUUAGUCAAAGAUCAAAAUUUAUUUUAAUUAUUUAGGUUAGUUUCUAUAUAUAUAUCAUUUUUAAAAAUUUUAUUAUUAGGUAAAUAAGUUUUAAAUUAAGCAAGAUUUAAUGCAUUAGAUUCACUAAGAGCUUAGUAAUUUUUUAAAAUAAUUUAAAACUCAAAUAGUAAAUCAAUUAAUACAAAAAACUUAUGGAUAAAAAUUGGUUUAGAAUAACUUUAUUGUUUCUCUUUCACAUAGAAUCCUUAUUUCUUGCAUUAAUGAUUAAAUUAUUAAUUUCUUUGAGUGUAUGUAUGAGCAACAUCUUACAGUGAUAGCAUAAUUUUUAACUUUAAACAAUCAAUAAUUUAAUAGGUAGUAAUACAUAUCUUUAAUAAUAGAUACAAUGAUUGUGGUAUUUCCACCAAGUUUGAAUUUAAUAUCCGUACUUGUGCAUGUGGACAUAUAAUGGUGCACGAUAUGGAGUUAGGCUAUGACUCAUUCAUUAGUGAAAAAAUUGUAAUUUUGCCAAACCUAGUUUACAUAAGCAAAUCCAUGCCACAAUCUCUAGGUGGAAGCCUAGGAGCCACGAUCCCUCUCUUUCUCUCUCUUGUUUGAUUGUCAUUUGGUAAUCUGAAAAUUUAAAAUUAGAAUUUUCUUCUAAUACUUUUUAAUCAAAAGUUUUUAGGGGGCUAUUAUUAAUUUUACUUACAAUGGGAAAAGAUAUUUGUUGUUUUUCUUUUUCAGUAGCAGUUAAAAAGGUUAUAACAUUUGAAAAUCACAAUUUAUCUUAACAAUAAAUCAAUAGAAUAAAAUUAAAAAUUAGAGUAUAAAUUAGUAGCAUACCUGAAACUAAUAUGAAGAUAUAAUAACAUAAAGUAAUUAUCAUUGAAUAAAUUAAAAGAAAAGCCAUUUCUUCUAUUACAAUAGUGAUGGAAUUCACUUCCAAAGCUUAUAGUAAAUCAUAAAGCAUAUGAAGAUCUACAAACAAAAUUUAUUGCCUUCGAGCAUGAUUUUUGGCAUAAGUCACUCUUCUUUUGAACAGUAGCCACUUGACAAUUUUGUCCACAAAAUCAAAAUAGGCAUCACACCAAGAUCUUCUUAUUGCCAAGACAAAAUAAGGAACUAAAAUGCCCAGCGCAAAUCCCAAGCCAAUGCUUAAGUAAAACCACUGAUCAAUAUAGCCACCAUCAAUUUUGUCCUCAAGAACACUUUGCCUUUUAUCUAGGUCUUCAUCCUGACAUUUUGUGACUAGUGGAGUUCCACAAAGAUUCGGGUUUCCAGUAAAGGCCAACUCUGUGAAAGUUGUCAUUUGCCCUACAAAGGGGAUCUUACCAGAGAAAUUAUUAUUUGAUAGAUUCAAAUAACCCAAGAAUGUUAACGAGGACAUGCUUGAAGGAAUGGUGCCAGAAAGCUUGUUGCUUGAUAGAUCAAGAGAGGACAACUGACACAACAUUGAAAUGCUUCCAGGAAUUUGGCCAAUGAUGUGAUUCAUGGACAAGUUUAGAAACACCAAACCAGACAAUUUUGUUAUUCCCUCAGGAAACUCUCCACUUAAAUUAUUGUCGGAUAGAUCGAUGCUAACAACAAGAGAAAGAGUCCUCGUGUAUUCAAGACUUUGGCCUUUUGUAAUCACAAUCAACCUUUCAUCAUAUCGAGAGCCAUUCCCACUGUGAUACAAAGAAUACAUAUCCAUGUUACGCUCCUGAGCCAUGGCUUUAAGCUCCACCAAAGUGACUGGAAUUUUACCAGUCAAAUUGUUUUGUGCAAGGUCUAAGACAUGUAGGGAGCUUAAAUUUGAAAGUCGGUCGGGAAGUCUUCCAAAAAAUGCAUUCGACCUCAAGUUGAGUAUUACAAGAUUUAUGAAAGCAGUUCCAAUCCAUGAUGGAACCUUACUCGAUAAUUCGUUAUAACUGAGAUCAAGGAGUUCCAAACUUGAUAAAUUUUGGAAAGAUGAGGGAAGCUCUCCUGAAAGCUUGUUGUCGUUCAGGUGUAGUGAUUGGAGCAAUUGUAACCGACCUAAUGACUUUGGUAUCAUCCCGGACAAAUUGUUAUUUCCAAGGUCCAAAACAAUUAGGCGAGAGUAAUUAUUUAUGGUAGAAGGAAUGCUUCCGGUCAAAUUAUUCCUUGAAAAAUCAAUGACUUCAAGAGAGGUGAUGUGUCCUAUGGAAUCUGGGAUGGUUCCUGUUAUUCGAUUACUCGAAAGAGAAAGGAAAUACAAGCUUGGUAGGAAUUCACCUAUGUUUGAUGGGAUGGGCCCUGUUAUUUGAUUAUGAGAAAGAAGAAGGUAUCUCAAGUCUGACAGGGAUUCACCUUUACUAAGUGGGAUAGGGCCAGAAAAUUUAUUAUGGGAGAGAUCUAGAAAUCUCACCCCUUUGAUUGAAAAAGGAAUAGGUCCUUCAAAGAGGUUGGAACUGAAAUCGAUCUGUGUGAGAAAAGGAGAAGAAAAAUUCAAUGAAUUUGGUAACUGACCUUGUAACUGAUUGUGAGAAAGACUUAAGUCCUGCAGAUUGAAAGAAAUAUUCCAAAACCAAUUUGGAAUAUGACUUGAAAUGCUAGCAUUUGAGAAAUUAAGAUAUUGGAGGUUCUUCUGAGAUUGAAGCCAAACCGGAAAUGAAGGACCCAAGUGGCAUGAACCCAUAUCAAGAUAUUUCACCUGGAAAGGGGGAACCCAAUUGGGACUAACAUUCAAAUGGAAAGAAUUGGAGUCCAUGUAUAGCUGCUCCAACUUACUUAGCUUCCAAAAAUGUUGUUCAGAGAGACUUCCACUCAUUUGAUUGGAACUAACUUGCAAGAUUUGCAAUUCUGAAAGUUGUCCAAUACUAUCUGGGAGACUUCCAUUCAGCUUAUUCAAUCCAAGAGUCAAGAACUCCAGGUGUUGCAAUGUCCAUAAAGAAACAGGAAUGAGACCUUCAAAUCUGUUACUGUUUAAAACAAGUGCCCUGAGAUUUUUAAGCUCACCCAACCAAUUUGGCAAUUUUCCCAUCAAUUGAUUGCCAUACAAGUACAACUCUGUCAAAUUAGGCAAAAGACUUUUAGAACUGCAGGUUUCAAUUCCCUCGAUAAUCUUAGGUAAACUUCCAUUCAAGUAAUUAUCACUCAAAUCCAGAUAUUUUAAGUUGCAAAAGUUUCCAAAGGAGCUUGGAAUUGGACCUGUAAUGAGCAAGAUUAAAAAAUAUGUAUUAAUUAAAUUAUGUAAUAAACAAAUAAUAAAAAUAGUAAAUAACAAAAUAAAUUAAUUCAUGAACAAUUAAUUUAAAGAAAAAGUAAGAAAAGUUAUUAUUCUUCAUGAAUUGGUGAAUAAAAAUAGUAAGAAUGGUAUUUUUUUAUCUUUUUUGAUAACCAUAAAAUAAAAUAAUUUAUUUCACUUUGUUAAAAAAGAAAAAAUAAUUUAUUUCAAUGUUAUAAGAAUAGUAGGAUUAGUCAUUGAUAUUAAUUGUUCCUUUAAAAAUAAACUAUUUUUUCUUUUUUAACAAAGUGAUAGUUCAAUGAGAGAAGAUAGAAAAUCAAAAUAUAAACCAAAGGAUUAAGAAAUCAAGUUAUCAAAAUUUAAAUUUUUAUUUUAGCGAUGAAAAUAAAGCUAGAGAAAACUAGGAAUUCAACCUAGUUUAAUAUUUUGUAACAACAACACUACAAGAAACUAGCAAAAUUAAAUAAAAAGUGAGAAACUUAUAAUAAACUAAAAUCAGUAAAAUGAUGAUGUAAAAUGGUUUAUAGUCUAACUAAAAUAUACAAAGGAUAUGCUAUGAAAUGAAAUAUCUAAAUUAAUUGAGGAGUGAGGAUGUCCUUAUAUCAAAUUGUCACUCAAAUCUAAAUAUUUUAGAGAUUUCAAUUUUAUCAAUAAAGGUCUAAUCUAAUUAAUUAAGUUUAAAAGAGACAAUAUAUCAAAGUAAAAACUCAUAUGGCAACAAUUGCUUCCCCUUUAGGAUAGUGGUUAAUAUUAACUUCUUGAUUUGGAUUUUAGUGAAUUCUCUAAGGUUGUUUUUGGAACUUCUAAUGUUUUAUUUCUAAAGAUAGAAAUUCAUAGAAACUCUAAUAUAAAUAGUAAAACUUUACCAUAAAAAAGUACUAUCUUAAAUGUUUUAAAAAACAUGAAUAUUAGAAAAAAUUUACUAUCUUAAAUCUUUUAAAUUUCAAUAACAGUAUUUAAGAACAUGAAAUGUAAUAUUAUAUUUACUUAAUGUUCAAUUUUAUGGUUUCAAUUACUUGUCUCAACCAUGAAAUGUCAUAUCUCAAUAUAUAAAUUACAAUAAUUUGACAUAAUAGAUGAAUUAUGGAGAGAAAAUAGAAAUUGAAAAUGUGCAAGAGAUGAUUGAAAGUUAUUUGAUGAUAAAGAUUCUUAACAAACGUAAAUGAUCAAAAUAGGAAUAUAAAUUUUUUUUUUGGAGAUACAAAGAAAGUAAAUUUUUAGAUUUCAAUCUAAUGUGGUUUUUUAUUUAUUAAUUACAAGAUUUUAAAAAAUAAAUGAAUAGUAAAUUAUAAUUAUUUAAAUUUUAUAGGAACAAGAAAUACCUGAAAAUAAACAUGACAAUCUAGAAUAAAAUUUUGAAAUGAGAAUAAAAAUUGAAAAGUAUUUAACAGCUAAAACUAGUAAAAUAUUAUAAAAAAAAAUUGGCAUUAGCAAAGUACGUCAUAUAUCAAUUCAACCGUAAUAUAAAUAUUCAAUUCAGUGCAUAUUCAAAUUAUUAUCCCCAAGAACAAAAUAAAUCGAAAAAAUGAGAGCAUGUCAAAAUCUUACUAUAGAAAUGAAAGCAUUCAAAAAAUAAUUAAUACCAUAAUGUAUGAAAAUGAUAUUAUUAUUAUUAUUUACAAUAAUAAAUAAUAAAUCAUUGAUCAACUAAUUUAAAAUAAAAAAAAAGGAGGUUAAGGAUUUAAAAAAUCAUAUUCCUAUAAGUACAAUUCUUUUAUUAGUUACAUAGACAUGCACCUUUUAUAAUCACUUACCAUUACACAAAAAAAUUGUUAAAUAAUAUAGAUACUUCAUAAGCAUAAAGUGUCAAACUAUAUACUUUUUCUUAGAUAAAAAAAAAACUAAAUUUCCUUCUAAGAAAUUUAAAGUUCAAAAUAAUGUUUUGUUAUUAGGUAUAAAUUUAUUUCCACUAUGAGAACAAAAUAUGGUGAUUAUUUGAUAAUGUAUACUAAUACAUAUUCAAGAAGAGGUUAUGUACACAAUCAUCAACUAUAUAAAUUUAAUUACAUAUUUACAUACAAACAAAGAAAUAUCAAUUUUUCUAUUAAGAGAAGAACUUACCAUGUAAUUUAUUUCCACCCAAAUUGAGAAAUUCUACCUUUUUCCAACUCUUCCUCAACAAUUGAUAGAUACUGCCUUCGAGAUAGUUCCCAUAUAGAUAUAAGUAUUGCAAAUUGGGUAGCUCACCAAGACCAAGUGGAAUCCUCCCAUGUAAUUGAUUGUAGCUUAUAUCAAUGGAUCCAAGGCUGCUAACAUUUAGAAGCCAUUCUGGAAACAUGGAAAUGAAUUGGUUCGACUUGAUGCUUAUAACACGAAGUGAAGUAAAGUUAACAAAGCUUGGAAAUGGAAUUGAGCCAGAUAGGCUACAACCAUCUAGAUGCAGCUCUGUUAAAAUUGGAAGUUUGUUUAGCACCUCCACCCAUUCACUUCCUACUGAUGAGAGGUUAACAUAAUCCAUACCAAGAUACUUCAAGGAAACAAGACUAGCCAUCCAUUCAAUAUUGCCAAUAGAUAAAUCAUUAAAAUAUUCAAAAUCAUCAUAACUCAGAUCUUCAUAAGAAAGAUCAAGAUACUGUAAAUUAGAAAGAUUUCCAAAAUUUGAAGGAAUUGUACCACUAAACUCAGCACCUGAUAAGUUUAGAUAUAGUAAAUUCUUCAAAGACCCGAAGAAUUGAGGAAUUGGCAUGCCUUUGAAUGAGUUGAAACUCAAAUCUAGAUAUUUCAAAGACUCGAGUUUUGUCAAUGAAGGUCUAAUUUCUCCACUCAAGUUCAUAGAGCUCCAGUUCUCAUGUACAUUCUUACGAGGAUAAGGGUUAUGAAGAUCAAUGGAAAUGACAAUUCCUGUGUCUUUUUCACAAGUAAUUCCUUGCCAGUAGCAAUAAUUGCUUCCUUUCCAUGAUGAAAGUCGGUUGUUAGGAUCUUUGAGGCCAUUUUUGAAGUUAAUAAGAGUCUCUUGUUCAGAUUGAAUGUUGUUGCUGAUAUGGGUAUAACCAUUACAUGCAAGUUCCGUUGUUAUGAAAUAGAGAAUGGCUACAAUGAAACCAAGAAUUGAAAUUCUCUCCAUGUAAAUAUUCUAAGUUGAGCACCUGUAAAAAUUGAAUUCCAAUAUGUAGUCAGCAUUUUCUUGAAUUAAAUUAAAAUUUUAUUUUUGACAUCAAAAUGAAAAACUGAUAAAAUUUAAAAGAUAGUUGCAUCAACAUGAUGAACUUAUUUUAACCAACACAUUUAAGAAAUGUUACCAGUCUAAUAUAAUUUUAAAAGAUCUACUCAUGGCAUAUGUAAAUAUAUACUAAGAAAAACAGUAGUAAUCAUCUCAUAGAUAUGCAACCUUACUUUGAUUGGCGAGAACUGAAAUCACCUACAAGAGAGUUAGAAAGAUUAGAUAGAAAAACACAUUAAAAGUAGUUUAUCAAUAUUAGUCGAGUUCAACCUUACCUGAAACUUCUUUCUUGUUUUCCUUGUUUUUUCAAUUCAACUAAAAUAUAUAGAAGAUUGUUUAAAGUGAUGACAAUGAUAGCCUCACUUUCUUAUUUUCCUUGUUUUUUCAAUCAUAUUAAAUUCUAAUUGAGUGGAAAAUGACUCAGAGUUCUUACCUCCACCACAAAAACCAAGUGUCUUGAUUGAAAACCUUCACUUGAAGAUAAAAAAGAUGUGGAUUGAAAGACCAUGAGUUGGCACUAAGUCAAGGUCAAUAAGAUUAAAAUAAACAUUAAAAUUCAUCUAUGAGUAAAAAAAACUACACUUGUUUAAAUUUUGAAAGAUCUUAAUUGGGAAAAAUAAAAUAUGCAUAUCAAGGUGUUAAGAAUAAGUCAAGAGCUUAGAUCAUUCAACAUACAAAAAUAGUAUUGAAUUGAUGGGCUUAUUUGGUGGUAUAAUUUAGAAAUUUAUAGCACUAUUUGGCAUGUUUUAUCCCAAAAACAAAAUUUUAAAAUAAAGUUAAAUAGAGAACAACUUUAGGAAAAUAAAUAUAAUUUCUUCUCACUUGUUUUUAAAAACAAAAGGAAAACAUAAAAAAAUAAAAUAAAUAAAUACAAUCUCUUUCUUCUUUCAUUUUUUCUUUACCAACCAAUGAUAAAAAAUCAUCAAAUAUGAUCUUUCUCUUAAUUAUACGUAUUUUUUUUUUUAUUUUCUUUAACUUCUCUAAUUUUUUUAUUAGGCAUAUAGAUUUUGAAUCAAAUAAUACUUAAAAUAAUUUGAAACUCAAAAUCAAUUUAAUUAAUACUAAAUUGUCAUCAAACUUAAAAGUUAAUUUAAUUAAUACAAAAAAAGUCAUGAACCAAAAUUUAUCAUGGAUGACUUUUUUAGUUUCUUAUUACAACACAUAACUAUAUUUUUCUGAAUUUUUUGCUAGAAAAAUAAAUUAAAUCUAGCAAAACUUAAUGUUUCAAUCCUUUAAUGAAUCUAAUAAUUUUUAGAAAUACUUUCAAAUUCACAUAUNNNNNNNNNNNNNNNNNNNNNNNNNNNNNNNNNNNNNNNNNNNNNNNNNNNNNNNNNNNNNNNNNNNNNNNNNNNNNNNNNNNNNNNNNNNNNNNNNNNNNNNNNNNNNNNNNNNNNNNNNNNNNNNNNNNNNNNNNNNNNNNNNNNNNNNNNNNNNNNNNNNNNNNNNNNNNNNNNNNNNNNNNNNNNNNNNNNNNNNNNNNNNNNNNNNNNNNNNNNNNNNNNNNNNNNNNNNNNNNNNNNNNNNNNNNNNNNNNNNNNNNNNNNNNNNNNNNNNNNNNNNNNNNNNNNNNNNNNNNNNNNNNNNNNNNNNNNNNNNNNNNNNNNNNNNNNNNNNNNNNNNNNNNNNNNNNNNNNNNNNNNNNNNNNNNNNNNNNNNNNNNNNNNNNNNNNNNNNNNNNNNNNNNNNNNNNNNNNNNNNNNNNNNNNNNNNNNNNNNNNNNNNNNNNNNNNNNNNNNNNNNNNNNNNNNNNNNNNNNNNNNNNNNNNNNNNNNNNNNNNNNNNNNNNNNNNNNNNNNNNNNNNNNNNNNNNNNNNNNNNNNNNNNNNNNNNNNNNNNNNNNNNNNNNNNNNNNNNNNNNNNNNNNNNNNNNNNNNNNNNNNNNNNNNNNNNNNNNNNNNNNNNNNNNNNNNNNNNNNNNNNNNNNNNNNNNNNNNNNNNNNNNNNNNNNNNNNNNNNNNNNNNNNACAUUCAAGUAAAACAUCCUUUAAAAUGAAAAAAAAAAAAUAGUUUGUAUCUUUUUCAUGACCCAUUAAUCUUGUAAGAAUUAUAGAUCACGUUGUUUGAUCAUGAUCGAUGAUUAACAAACUUUAUUCUCUAUGUAGUGUUGACUAUGUUAUCAAGUCAAAAAGCUAUGCCGUGUUCAAGUAACACAUCUUCCAAAAUUUUAAAAAUAUAAUAAGAUAAAAUAAAAUAAAGGCCUUGACUCAAUUCUUUUUAUUAUGAAGGUCAUUCUUCACCUAAAAAAUAAGGUUAACAACUUUGCAUCUAAUUAUAAUAUAGGAUAAAAAGAAGUGUUUAAUAGUGAUCAAAACACUGAUUUUAUAUCAUUAUACAAAAUUAAGGGAAAUAAUCAACUAGUCAAGAAAUGAAUUGAUUAAUUGUUACCUUUACCAAAAUGCCUUAUUAUAUAUUAUAGCUUUUCUUUAAAUAAAAUUAAAAGAAAAUUGUCAAAUAGCACCAUAAUAAAGGGAAAAUUGAUCUUAGUCCACAUUACUACUUUUGUUUAAACAAAAUUAAAAUAAAUUUUGUGAAAUAUAUCAAUAAAAAAGGAAAAAUACUUGCAUGAAAAGAUAGAAUUUUUUUUUUUUUUUUUUAAAGCAAAAUGUUACUAAAUAAAGGGAAAAUACUUGUAUAAACUAGUUUAUCUAAAAUUAGACCUUGACUUAGUAUUUAAUAAAUAUAGGAGAACAAAUAUAUAUGACAACCAUACCAUUAAUUUUAUCUUAAUGUAUAAAAAUAAAGAUAACUAUUGGAUAGCCAAAAAUAAUAAUAAAAUUAAAUAUUUAUUAUCCCUAAUUGUAAAUUAUGAAAACAUUGAAAAGUUAUUUUAAAUCCAAAUAUGUCAAAAUAACAUCAUUAAUAUAAUUGCUUUCAAUUCAUUUUUACACACACAUAGUAGAUUAAACAUUAUAUCUAUCUUGCAAUUUAAGUAAUCACUUUUGACUUCAAAGGAAAAUGAUAUUAGAAAAUAAUAUGAUUCAACCCAAAAACUUAAUUUCUUUAAGUUCCAACUAAUGAGAAACAUACACAUGCGAUAACCUUAUUACAAUAGAUUAGUUUCUUCCAAUUUUUUUUUUUUAAUUUUUUAUUAUUCAAAUAUCUAAUAACCUAAUUUGCCUAAAAUUAAUUAUGACAAUGAUUAACCAUCUAAAAUCAAAUCAUAAUGUCCAUUUUUUUCUUGAUCAUAAUCCACAAUAAAGAAUAUUUAUUUUGAAUGAAGUGUAGACCACAUUGUAAAGUUUGUCAAUUCAAAUAGUCAUAUGGAUAACAAAUAACUAUUUUAAAAUCAUAUUAGAAUAGUUUGUAUUGUUAUAUGACCCAUCAAUUUUGUAUGAAGUGGAGACCACGUGUUUGACUAUGACCGAUGAUAAUGGAAUUUUAUUCUCUAUGUAGUAUUGAUCAGGUUAUCAAGUCAAAAAGUUAAAUUGUGCUCAAGUAAAACAUCCUUUAAAAUUUAAAAUAAAAAAUAAAAAAUCAAAAGACCUUGACUCGUUCAAAAUUAUGGUUUUGAAAGUUGGAAGUAAAAAUGGAGAAAGGAAAACCAAGAAAAAAAGGCCCAUAUAUUAGGCCUAGAAAUUAGGCCCUUGUAGAAAGGAAAAAAAGAUUUUCGAAAAAGGAAAAUUAAAUAAAAUAAAAAUUCAAAUGAGCCAAAAGUUGUCUAGAAAAUGGGCCGAAAUAGGGGCCAAAUAAUAAUAAUAAUAAUAAUAAUAAUAAUAAUAAUAACCAUACAUCCAUAUUGAAGGUGAUAUAUUUUGAAACAUUCAAGUCCAUGUAAGAUAGUAAUAGAUAAGAUGAUAAUAGCCUUACAACCAUAUUGAAGGGUGAUAUCUUUUGAAACAUUCAAGAUCUUACAACAUUGAAGUCAAUGAAAAAUGUUGUCCACACAAGAUGAUAAUAGAUAAGUUUAAAUAAUAAUAAUAAUAAUAAUAAUAAUAAUAAUAAAAUAAUAAUAAAAACCUUACAACCAUAUCGGAGGGUGAUGCUUUUUGAAACAUUCAAGUCCACACAAGAUGAUAAUAACUUUACAACCAUAUUAAAGGAUGAUAUCUUACAAAACAUUCAAGACCUUACAACCGCAUUGAAAUAUUUUAGACCUUACAACAUUCAAGUCUAUGAAAAAUGUUGUCCACACAAAAUGGUAAUGGAUAAGUUUAAUAUUCUCAAAUUAUUAUAAAUCAAGCAAAGUCUAGCUUGGCCAAUAAUAUUAUAAACUUAAAAAUUAAUUAUCUACAAUUAUAAAUUAUUUAAAGUUAUUUUGAAUCCAAAUAUGUCAAGUAGCGUCAUUAUUAUAAUUGCAUCCAAUUUGUUUUCCUAUACACACAUAAUAGAUUAAACACUAUAUUUGUAUUGCAACUUAAGUAAUCACUUUUUACUUCGAAGAAAAUUGUGUUAGAAAAUAAUAAGAUCCAAACCACAACUUAAUUCCUGAAGUCCCAACUAAUGAGAAAUAUACACAUGAUAUAAUCUUAUGAUAAUAGAUUAGUUCCAUCCAAUUAUUUUUUAAUAUAUCAAUAUCUAAUUACAUAAUUUGUCUAGAUUUAAUCAUGAAUAACGAAUAACCAUUUAAAAUCAAAUCAUAAUAGUCCAUUCCUCCGGACCCACAACUAGCUCCUCCCCACUUCUUCCAAAGUCUUCACAAAAGAUUCUUAUUUCCACCUGGGAAUCUUUUAUUAAAUUUUUAAUUCUAUAACCCAUAAAAACUUAACAAAUAAAUACAAUUUUAUAGAUUUAUAAUAUAUAUAUAUAUAUAUGUUCACUAAAACAUUACCAUCUUUUUAACAAAAAAAAAAACAUAAUUUGUAUUUUUAUUAUAUAUGAAAUUUAUCAUUACAUUAUUUAUUGAAACAAUUAUCAUCCUUUAUUUUGUAUUUAUUUCUUAUAAUUUAGUUUUUUUUUUGAAGUAAAACAAAAUUGGUGUGAAUUUUUAAAAUAUUAUAAUUUAUAGAUAAAUUUUUUCAAAUAUUAAUAUUCAUUUUUAAUGAAAAAAUAUAGUUCAAAUGUUUAUCUAAAAAUUAACAAUUUCACAAAAUUUUAAUAAAAUAUUAAAAAAAAAAUCCACGGGAUUUGUUUUCUUUCAUGGUUUUAUCUAUUAUCUCAUAUUAUCCUUAGAAAAAUGAAUUUAUAUUAAAAAAUAUUAGUUGAUAAGAUAACAACAAAUCAAUUUACUACAUAACAUAAAUUAAUAAAACCACUAUGAUAUUUUAAACACUAGUGAUUUGUUUCUUCAAAAUUAUUUUUGACAAAUUAUCCAAAAGUCUACAUUUUUUUUAAAUAACCAAAAUGUUAAGGUUCAAUAAUAUUUUCUUAAGGUUAUUUCUUGAAAUUAAUUUUCUAGAUAGAAAGAAGGUUUUCUAUUAUUUUUUAAGUAAUCACUUUUGACUUCAAAGGAAAAUGAUAUUAGAAAAUAAUAUGAUCCAACCCACAAACUUAAUUCCUUUAAGUUUCAACUAACGAGAAACAUACACAUGCAAUAACCUUAUUAUGAUAUAUUAGUUUCUUCCAAUUUUUUUUUAUACAAAUAUCUAAUAACUUAAUUUGCCUAGAUUUAAUCAUGGACAAUGAUUAACCAUCUAAAAUCAAAUCAUAAUGUUCAUUUUUUUCUUGAUCAUAAUCCACAAUAAAGAAUAUUUAUUUUGAAUGAAGUGUAGACCACGUUGUAAAGUUUGUCAAGUCAAAUAGUCAUAUGUAUAAUAAAUAACUAUUUGAAAAUCAUAUUAGAAUAGUUUGUAUUUUUAUAUGACCCAUCAAUUUUGUAUGAAGUAUAGACUACGUUGUUUGACUAUGACGGAUGAUAAUGAAAUUUUAUUCUCUAUGUAGUAUUGAUCACGUUAUCAAGUCAAAAAGUUAAAUCGUGCUUAAGUAAAACAUCCUUUAAAAUUAAAAAAAAAUCAAAAAUAAAAAAACCUUGACUUGUUCAAAAUUAUAGGUUUUGAAAGUUGGAAGUAAAAAUGAAGAAGGAAAAACCAAGAAAAAAAAAGGCUCAUAUAUUGGGCCCAGAAAUUAGGCCCUUGUAGAAAGGGAAAAAAGGUUUUAGAAAAAGGAAAAUUUAAUAAAAUAAAAAUUCAUGGCCAAAAGUUGCCUAGAAAAUGGGCCGAAAUAGGGGCCAAAUAAUAAUAAUAAUAACCAUACAUCAAUAAUGAAGGUGAUAUCUUUUGAAACAUUCAAGUCCACAUAAGAUAGUAAUAGAUAAGAUGAUAAUAGCCUUACAACGAUCUUUUGAAACAUUCAAGUCAAUGAAAAAUGUUGUCCACACAAGAUGAUAAUAGAUAAGUUUAAAUAAUAAUAAUAAUAAUAAUAAUAAUAAAACCUUACAACCAUAUUGGAGGGUGAUACUUUUUGAAACAUUCAAGUCUACACAAGAUGAUAAUAACUUUACAAUCAUAUUAAAGGAUGAUAUCUUUCAAAACAUUCAAGACCUUAAAACCACAUUGAAAUAUUUUAAACCUUACAACAUUCAAGUCUAUGAAAAAUGUUGUCCACACAAAAUGGUAGUAGAUAAGUUUAAUAUUCUCAAAUUAUUAUAAAUCAAGCAGGUCUAGCUUGCCAAUAAUAUUAUAAACUUAAAAAUUAAUUAUCUACAAUUAUAAAUUAGUUAAAGUUAUUUUGAAUCCAAACAUGUCAAGUAGCACCAUUAUUAUAAUUGCAUCUAAUUUAUUUUCCUAUACACACAUAAUAGAAAAUAAUAAGAUCCAAAUCACAACUUAAUUCCUUAAGUCCAUAUUAACAAGAAACAUACAAAUAUCUAAUUACAUAAUUUGUCUAGAUUUAAUCAUGGACAAUGAAUAACCAUUUAAAAUCAAAUCAUAAUUGUCCAUUCCUUCGGACCCACAACUAGCUCCUCUCCACUUCUUAUAAAGUCUUCAUAAAAGAUUCCUACUUCCACCUGGGAGUAUUUUCUUAAAUUUUUAAUUCUAUAAUGCUUUCUCAUUGCAAAAUUAGGGUCUUUUUAAUUUUUAAUUCUAUAACCCAUAAAAACUUAAUAAAUAAAUACAAUUUUAUAGAUUUAUAAUAUAUAUAUAUAUAUAUAUAUAUAUAUAUGUUCACUAAAACAUUACCAUCUUUUUAACAAAAAAAAAAACAUAAUUUGUAUUUUUAUUAUAUAUGAAAUUUAUCAUUACAUUAUUUAUUGAAACAAUUAUCAUCCUUUAUUUUGUAUUUAUUUCUUAUAAUUUAGUUUUUUUUUUUGAAGUAAAACAAAAUUGGUGUGAAUUUUUAAAAUAUUAUAAUUUAUAGAUAAAUUUUUUCAAAUAUUAAUAUUCAUUUUUAAUGAAAAAAUAUAGUUCAAAUGUUUAUCUAAAAAUUAACAAUUUCACAAACUUUUAAUAAAAUAUUUAAAAAAAAAAGUCCAUGGGAUUUGUUUUCUUUCAUGGUUUUAUCUAUUAUCUCAUAUUAUCCUUAGAAAAAUGAAUUUAUAUUAAAAAAUAUUAGUUGAUAAGAUAACAACAAAUCAAUUUACUACAUAACAUAAAUUAAUAAAACCACUAUGAUAUUUUAAACACUAGUGAUUUUUUUUUUUUCAAAAUUAUUUUUGAAAAAUUAUCCAAAAGUCUACAUUUUUUUUUAAAAUAACCAAAAUGUUAAGGUUCAAUCAUAUUUUCUUAAAGUUAUUUUUUAAAAUUAAUUUUCUAGAUAAAAAAUUAAGUAAUCACUUUUGACUUCAAAGGAAAAUGAUAUUAGAAAAUAAUAUGAUCUAACCCACAAACUUAAUUCCUUUAAGUUCCAACUAAUGAGAAACAUAACAUGCAAUAACCUUAUGAUAGAUUAGUUUCUUCCAAUUUUUUUUUAUACAAAUAUCUAAUAACUUAAUUUGCCUAGAUUUAAUCAUGGACAAUGAUUAACCAUCUAAAAUCAAAUCAUAAUAAUCCAUUUUUUUCUUGAUCAUAAUCCACAAUAAAGAAUAUUUAUUUUGAAUGAAGUGUAGACCACGUUGUAAAGUUUGUCAAGUCAAAUAGUCACAUCGAUAAUAAAUAACCAUUUUAAAAUCAUAUUAGAAUAGUUUGUAUUUUUUUUAUGACCCAUCAAUUUUGUAUGCAGUGUACACUACUUUAUUUGAUUAUGACUGAUAAUAAUGAAAUUUUAUUCUCUAUCUAGUAUUGAUCACGUUAUUAAGUCAAAAAGAUAAAUCGUGCUCAAGUAAACAUCCUUUAAAAUAAAAAAAAUUAAAAAUCAAAAGACCUUGACUCGUUCAAAAUUAUGGGUUUUGAAGGUUGGAAGUUAAAAUGGAGAUGAAAAAACCAAGAAAAAAGGCCCAUAUAGUUGGCCCAUAAAUUAGGCCCUUGCAAAGAGAAAAAAAAAAGUUUCAGAGAAAAGAAAAUUAAAUAAAAUAAAAAUUGAAAUGGCCCAAAAGUUGCCUAGAAAAUGGGCUGAAAUAGGGGCCAGAAAACCGUCCCUAUAAGAGAAAAUUUUUUAUUAUACAAAUAUCUAAUAACUUUAUUUGCCUAGAUUUAAUCAUGGAUAAUGAUUAACCAUCUAAAAUCAAAUCAUAAUAAUCCAUAUUUUUCUUGAUCAUAAUCCACAAUAAAGAAUAUUUUGUUUUUUUGAAUGAAGUGUAGACCACGUUAUAAAGUUUGUCAAGUCAAAUAGUCAUAUCGAUAAUAAAUAAUCAUUUUAAAAUCAUAUUAGAAUAGUUUGUAUUUUUUUUAUGACCCGUCAAUUUUGUAUGCUGUGUAGACUACGUUGUUUGAUUAUGAUUGAUAAUAAUGAAACUUUAUUCUCUAUGUAAUAUUGAUCAUGUUAUCAAGUCAAAAAGAUAAAUCGUGGUCAAGUAAAACAUCCUUUAAAAUUUAAAAAAUUAAAAAUCAAAAGACCUUGACUCAUUCAAAAUUAUGGGUUUUGAAGGUUGGAAGUUAAAAUGGAGACGGAAAAACCAAGAAAAAAGGCCCAUAUAGUUGGCCCAUAAAUUAGGCCCUUGCAAAGAGAAAAAAAAAAGUUUUAGAGAAAAGAAAAUUAAAUAAAAUAAAAAUUGAAAUGGCCCAAAAGUUGCCUAGAAAAUGGGCUGAAAUAGGGGCCAGAAAACUGUCCCUAUAAGAGAAAAAAAUCUUCAUAAAAAUUAUGAGGCCCAAAAUUGGCCCAGAAGUUGGGCCCAGGGAUCUGACCCAUAAAAGGGCCAAAAAGGCUGGCUGGGAGGGGAUUAAAAAAAGGGCAAACUGGCCCAAAUUAGGCCCAGCCCAUUUUUAUUGGGUUGGGUAUGGUGGGGGUGGGCUUCGCUUGGGUGUGGGUGAGGGGAGGGUUGACUUAUGACACGGUGCCAUGUGGCAGCUCCAAUUGAGGUGCAAAACCCCACUUUUUAAGCCUAUAAUGUUGUCUUUAAGAUCAUUAUGAUUUCUGCUUAGCUCCUCAUGGUGCUUCAGCUCUACUGUAAAUAUAGGAACUAUACUAAGUAAGAAUGAUACAAAACAAUACAGAAAUAAAUUUUAAACAAGGGAGGCCCAAAUUUGGCCCAGAGAUGGGACCCAUAAGAGAGCCCAAAAUGCUAGCUGGUGGGGAAUACAAAAAUAAAAAAAUAAAUAAAAAGGGCCAAACUGGCCCAGCCCAGGGAAAGAGUUCAAUUAUUUUUUAAAUUAUUUGUAAUAAUAAAAUUAUUAUUAUUAAUUUAUUAAAAACUAUUUAUUUUUAAUUUAGUUAUAAUAAUAAAGUUUUUUAUUUAUUUGUAAUAUGAAUUGAAUUAAAUUAAAUUUAUAUUAUAUAAAUUCAAUUUACAAAAUCAAAAUAAAAAAUUAUUUUUAAAAACAACUUAUAUAAAAUCAACUUUUUGUUUUUUAUUAUUUGAAGAGUGUAUUUAAAAAUAGUUUACACAAAGGGAAUCAAAAUACCCUUCAAUGAUGAAUUGAAUCCCACUUAUAAGUGGAAAUUUAUUUAUUUGCUGGAAUCAUUUUUUAUUUCAUUCUCAUUGCAAACAUUAUAAUGAAUGAAUUCAACAUAUCAAACAUGAUAAUGGUAAAUAUAUUUUAAUAAAUCUAUAAAUUUUAAAACUUAACAAAUAAAUACCAUUUUAUAAAUUUUAAAAACUGAUAAUAGCGUAAUCAUGGGUUAUAAGUAUACUUUUCUUUGGUUAAAAGAGUUUUAUAUAAUAUAUAUAGUUAUAAUUAAAGUGCUUCAAAGUUAAAAGGCCUUCUAAAUACUCUUUUAGCUCCAAGGGUUGUUCUUUGUAAGGUUUGGAAUAAAUUUUUUGCUUAUAUAUUAACUUAUUAAUUUUCUUGCAAAAUAAAAGGAGUCUUCUUUUCUCAUUAAAAUAAUUUGAGUCAUUUUUCCUUCUCAUUACGCUACAACAAAUGUGGGCUUUUUCUAUGUACUAAUUUGUACUUAAAAAAGAGCAUUUCUGGGUUGUUGCUAUAAUCAUUUUUUACCAUAACAAAUGAAUUUUAUAGCCAAAAGAGGUAAAAUUUUGCCAUAACAUGUUAUUUUUCACCACAAAAUAAAACUUGUACCAACACAUCACUUUUUUCCACAAAACAAAUUCAUGGCAAAACUCAAAAUUCUCUAUGAACACAAAAUUCAUGGUAAAAGUUCACUACAAAAAAAUAUUUACGGUUAAUGAUUAAAUUCCACCAUAAAAAAAAAAAAAAAAAAAUUGUGGCAAAAGUUUAUUUUCAAUAAAUUUUUUUUUCUAAUAGUACUAAAUUGCUAUCUAAAGAGCAUCACUGAUCAUUCUGCCAUUGUUGUCCCUUAAUGCUAAAAUACAUAAUGAAUCACCAACUUGACAUAAAUUAGGAUCAAUAUAAAAACAAAACAAAACAAAAAAAAAACCAAAAGAUGAACUUAGCUAAAAAAAAUUAAAGCCUAUAAAUUCACACAAAGAAUAUUAAUAAUUUAAUAAUUAAAUAUCAACAUUACAUCCUUUAAUACACUAAGCUUAGUAUGAAGUAUGAAGUAUGAAAUGCCAUGAGAGAUUCAUCACAAAAUAUACUUCAAAUCAAUUUGCAUACUCUCUAAUGGUAGCAUGUUAUCCUCUAGUUCAUUAUUUUCAUUAAUUGACACAGAAUCAGUAGAAAUAGAAUCAGAUUUUACUUGAAACCCUAAAACAGUGCUGACCUCAAAUUACUGGUUGUUUGGAUCAACAAACUUGAGCAUGAGGUCAUUAUGUCCAGACUUUGAAUCCUCCUCCGGCUAGGGCUUCGAAGCCCCACUCUCCUUCUAGGUUUCAUUGUUUUGCUCCUCUUGCCCACUUUGUGCUAUUUCAGAUACCACAUUCUCACUAACCAUAGUGCUAGUUUCGACAAAAAUUACAUUUCCUGAAUAAAAUUUCAUUGAAAGAAUAUUAAAUUCUAUUAAUCACGCAAAGUAAAAAAUAAGAUAGGUGCACUACUUGAACCUGCUAAGACAUCAAAUUUUCUAUUAUAAGCACUUGACAUUAGUUGAGAGGGAAUUUUCAUUUUCAGAAAACCAGAAGAAAAUACGACACACAAUCAUCAAAAUUUCUCCCCCUAUCAAUUUCCUCUCGGUUUUCUCUACAACCAAACAAAGGGUAAGGGUUUUUGAAAAUUUCCUCUUCCAGAUUCUUCUUCUAAUCAUCAACACCGUCCAUUUCUAUAAAUUUCAGUCAAAUAUACAGAUAAUAUUAGACGCUUCCAUGCUGAUAGAGAGAGAAAGUAGAAAUUGUAAAAUUUUAAAAUCCAUCAACACUGCUAGAAACUUCCAAGCAAAUCAACAGUAACAGUGGUGACAAAAUUGUAUUUUUAUACUAAUACAAGUGCUAGGACUAGGCGGCUUCAAUAUCACUCUACAAAAAUUCAAAAUUCAAAUUGAAUUUUCUUUCAUUUUCCUAAACCUUCACAGCAACCAAACGCGAGUUGGGGCUAAACAUCUCCACACCACACCCUAAAAACUCCAAACAUCAAGAAUAUGAGACAAUCGACAAUGAAAACUCUAAAUAUCCAAAGAGAAAAAACAGAGAAUUGAAGAGAGAGUUAGAGACCUAGAUAGGUUGAUUGAGUUGAGAGAGGUGAUCAGAGGAGAGGUGAGGCAAGAGGCCAAGCAGUGCGGAGAGAGCCAUCUCCGAGUGCUUAGGAUGAAUCCGUCGCAUCAAUCCCAAAGUCGCCUCCAUUUUAUUCAAAAAAAGGAUUCGGUUAAGCUCUAGAACCACCACCACCACUCUAGGGACCCUUCCCCCUGAUGACACGUGGCGUGCCUCGCUGUCCGAGGCGACUCCAUCCGGACUCCCCAGAGAAGGACACAUGGCGCGCUCCCCCUAUCCGGACUUCCUUAGGGAAAAGCACACGACACUCGCAAGCAUCACAUCCCCGGACGAUAGCAUAUCCUAUUCGGAUAUGUUGUCCGGAUCGUUGACUAAAGUAAGUAAGUCUUAAUGACAGCUUGCGUGGCCCACGUUUCGCCACCUGCAGAGUGAAAGGACAGAAGUGAUGGCAAAUCACCUCCCACGAUCUCUGACAGCCGUGUCGUAGGGUGAUGAUGACCCUGCCACCACCUAGAGGCAUCAUGACGAGCCAAAAAGUCUCCCUACCAUUAAAGAAGAGGACAGAGCUUCUGAUACUAUAUAUAUGGACCUUCACACAAGAAGGAAGGUAAGCUUGCUAUACCUAGUAAAAGGCCAACUGAUUAAUCUCUCUAAGACAUGGCUGACAAAAUCAUCGAAGGGUGUGUCCGGACACCCUGUCCAUACAUCUUUUGCAGGGACAACUGAACCAGAACUCUAUCUUGGUUGAAAGUGUGCGUCCAUUUGGCAGCUACGUGGAUCAUCGGGACGCAAGGCCUUAACAUUGGCGCCGUCUGUGGGAAACUCGCUGAUUCAGUCACCGGCAAAGAUGUCCACACCUUCCAAAAGCCACUCGUCUGCUAGGGGAGAGGAAGAUAAUUUUGAAUGGCGCUGAGCCAUCGAAAGAAGACAGUUGGCAAGCGAGCGACAACUGCAAGCUCUCCUCCAGGAGACAAUAAGAUUAAGAGAAGAAAACGCUGUGUUGCGAAUAUAGGCUUCAUCAACGGGGCCUCCCCGUCAUUAGCAUUCAAGAGGUCAGGUAGCAAACUCAAGGCCUGACCCAGAGUCAAUAUACCCUGGGGCAGCAGGAGCAAUCCCUGAAACAUGCAACGUUAGGCCACAUGAGCCACACACGCCCAUGCACCGAGCUCCUCAUGAGGAAAGCUCAGACUCUACUCAUCUUUCAACAAAAAGACAACGCGACAAAAAACCCCAUUUGUUAGACUCAAUGCGCGCGAGACUAGGCCCACAGGAGCCUAGGAGGCCAAGGCCGCCAGUUGCCACAACCUGGGGAGCACACCCUGACCCUAUGGUCACCCCUAUGGUGCAUAACGUUCUCCCGCACCGUGACCCUAUGGUCACCCCUAUGGUGCAGAACGUUCACCCGCACCUAGCAGUAUGACAAGCUGGGAGAAACCUCCCAAAGGAGCCACCCAUUGGCUCCAUCAGCAAAAGGCUGGACGACAUGCUCUCCACGCCUUUCUGCUCUCAUAUUAUUCAUUACGAGCCCCCAAGGGGAUUCCUUGUGCCUAAAUUCUCCACGUACGAUGGGUCUAGUGACCCCUUCGACCAUAUCAUGUAUUAUCGACAGCUCAUGACUCUCGAUAUAAGAAACAACGCGCUACUAUGCAAAGUGUUCCCCGCCAGCCUACAAGGGCAGGCCCUCUCAUGGUUUCACCGUCUACCUCCCAACUCUAUUGAUAAUUUCAGGGACCUGUCGGAAGCCUUCGUGGGACAAUACUUAUGCUCCGCUCGGCAUAAGCAGAACAUCAACACUCUGCAAAACAUAAAAAUGCAGGACAACGAGUCCUUGAGGGAGUUCGUGAAACGGUUUGGUCAGGCCGUGCUACAGGUAAAGGCUUACAACAUGGAUGUUGUCCUGCAGAUCUUCAAGCGAAGCAUUGGUCCAAGCACCCCAUUUUUCGAAUCAUUCGCUAAGAAGCCUCCUACGACGAUGGACGACUUGUUCCGGCGUGCGAGCAAAUACUCCAUGCUCGAAGAUGACGUGCGAACAGCCACCCAACAAAUCUUGGUUGUCGGACAAGCAUCCAGAGGUGGUGCAGAAAGAAGUGCCAAACUUCCGGACCGGCCAAGGCCGUCCGAUAGAAGGUAGGAAGGGCCAAGUCGCCCGGAAAUGCCGCCCCCCAUACCCCUUUCCAUAUCUUUUGAAAAGCUUCUCCCUAUGAUCCAAGACAUGUCCGACUUCAGGUGGCCUAGACCCCUCAAAACGGACCCCUCCAAAAGGGAUCAUAGUAAAAAAUGCGCCUACUGUAAGGAGCAUGGUCACACAACGGAGGCGUGCAAGUGCCUCCAUUAUUUGGUCAAAAGGCUCAUACAGGCGGGACAUUUAAAGCAAUACCUCCGCUCAGAUGCCAGAGGUAGAGACGCUUCCCGAAAUCACAACUCUGGAACCCUCAGGGCUUUAGCCGCCCCCAAAGUCGUUAUAAACUAUAUUAACGGAGGCCCACUCAAUGAGGAGUACGACUCCAAACGAAAGAGACAGAGGUUGGUGAGGGCAGCAUCGGUGCGUGAGCAUGUCAACUCCAUCCGGCCUGGGAUAAUUGGGGGUGGGGGAGGGGGGGGGGGGGGGGGCUUAGCCCCAUAGAUGGGACAAUCAUUUUCCCGCCAGUAGACCCCACACGAAUAUUGUAGCCACACCGCGAUGCCCUCAUCCUGUCCCUAGAGAUAGGAGACUUCGACGUGAGACGCAUCCUAGUUGAUCCGGGCAGCUCGGCCGAUCUUGUACAAGCAUCGGUCAUUAGCCACAUGGGAUGCAGUUUAGCAGGCCUCGAAAACCCUGGGCAAAUCUUGUCCGGAUUCAACGGGGCAUCAACUACUUCCUUGGGAGAUAUUGCAUUGUCGGUCUAAACUGACCCAAUCACUCUCAACGUACAAUUUUCGGUGGUACAAGAUUUAUCACCCUUCAAUGUCAUCUUGGGGCGCACAUGGCUGCAUUACAUGAAAGUCAUCCCCUCUACGUAUCAUCAAAUGGUAAGCUUCCUUACCAAGGAUGGGCAAAUCGACCUAUAUGGCAACCAGUUAGCCGCUCGUCAAUGCUACCAGAUAGCAUGAGAAGCAGAGACCAGCCAGGAGGAUAAAACCCUCCCUGAGUCCAGCCAUACACUUGACCAAUAGCAAUUAUUGAGUCCGACGGACAAAGAUCCCUCGGCAGCGGAUCCCUUGCAGGCGAUCCAAAUUUCAGAAGAAGGUACUCACCUUACAUAUAUCAGUUCCCUCCUGACACCAGAAGAGACCCGGAACAUUUAGAACGCCCUCCGACAAAGCCAUGACGUCUUCUCAUGGGCACAUUCUGAUAUGAAGGGAAUUCAUCCCUCCAUCGCCUCUCAUAGGCUUAACAUCUUGCCAACAGCAAGACCCGUCCGACAGAGGGUUAGACGUUUCCACCCGGACAUGCAAAAGAUUAUCCGGGAUGAGAUCGACAAGUUGCUGGAAGCCGGAUUCAUCAGAGAGGUGGAGUACCCGGAUUGGUUGGAAAAUGUAGUGGUGGUACCCAAAAAGGAAGGCAAAUGGCGGGUGUGCGUCGAUUACACCAACCUCAAUAAUGCAUGCCCAAAAGACAGUUUCCCUUUGCCACGUAUCAACCAAAUUGUGGACUCCACUAUUGGGCAAGGGAUGCUCUCCUUCUUGGACACCUUCUUCGGAUACCACCAAAUCCCCAUGUCCCCGACUGACGUAGAAAAAACAGCCUUCAUAACGCCACACGGUCUUUAUUGCUACAAAGUCAUGCCGUUCGAACUCAAAAAUGCUGGCGCCACUUAUCAGAGACUGAUGACGAAGAUCUUCAAACCUCUGGUCGGCCACACAGUAGAGGUAUAUAUUGAUGAUAUCGUGGUUAAAAGCAAAACCCGAGAGGAACAUGUCCUCCAUUUGCAAGAAGUCUUCCACCUCUUAAGGAAGUAUGACAUAAAGUUGAAUCCUGCUAAGUGCGCCUUUGGCGUAAGCGUUGGAAAAUUCUUGGGAUUUAUGGUCAGCCAAAGGGGGAUAGAGGUUAGCCCUGAUCAAGUCAAGGCAGUCAUGGAAACACCACCCCCCAAGAACCAAAAGGAAUUACAGCGCCUCACAGGCAAGCUCGUUGCGCUAGGACGCUUUAUAACUCGCUUCACUAAUGAACUGCGACCUUUCUUCUUGGCAAUACGAAAAGCUGGAGCGAGCGGAUGGACAGACAGCUGUCAGAGCGCUUUUGAAAAAAUUAAACAUUGCCUCAUGCAACCGCCCAUCCUGAGCAGCCCCCUCCCUAAAGAAAAAUUGUAUAUGUAUCUGGCUGUAUCGGAGUGGGCAAUUAUCGUUGUUCUAUUCCGUUGCCCCUCGCCCAAGGAGCAGAAACCUAUUUACUACGUUAGCAGAGCGUUGGCGGACGUAGAAACUAGGUAUUCAAAGAUGGAGCUAACGGCCUUGACUCUUCGAAGUGCCGCCUAGAAGCUCCGCCCUUACUUCCAAGCCCACCCGGUGGUCGUGCUAACUGACCAACCCCUUCGCAGCAUCCUGCACAAACCGGACUUAACCGGAAGAAUGCUUCAAUGGGCCAUAGAGUUGAGCGAAUACAGAAUCGAGUUCCAACCAAGGUUGUCCAUUAAAGGCCAAGUGAUGGCUGACUUCGUGCUAGAAUACUCCUGAAGGCCUAACCAACGCAAAGAACCAAGUGAAAACGAGUCGUGGACUUUGCAGGUUGAUGGAGCCUCCCGGUCAUCAGGAUCCGGAGUAAGGCUCCUGCUGCAAUCCCCAACAGGAGAACAUCUAGAGCAAGCCAUCCGACUGGGGUUUCCCGCCUCUAACAAUGAAGCAGAGUAUGAGGUCAUCCUAUCCGGAUUGGACCUCGCCCUGGCUCUAUCCGUCUCCAAGCUCCGGGUCUAUAGUGAUUCCCAACUCGUGCUAAGGCAUGUCCAGAAGGAAUACGAAGCUAAAGAUGUACGCAUGGCGCGAUAUCUGACUAAAGUAAAGGACACCUUACAACGGUUCACUGAAUGGACGAUCGAAAAAAUUAAACGAACUGAAAAUGGACGUGCCGAUGCCCUGGCAGGCAUAGUUGCCUCCCUCCCCAUCACAGAAGCCAUAUUGUUGCCUAUACAUGUACAAGCCAACCCUUCCGUCGCAGAAGCCUCCACUUGCAAUACCAUUGAGGCAAACCAAGCAGACAACCAAGGAUAGACGGAAGCCGUCAUAGAAUAUCUCCGGACAGGCACUCUGCCCGAAUAGCCCAAGUAGGCACACAAGACCCAGGUACAAGCCGCCCGUUUCACCCUGAUCGGGGGGCACUUGUACAAGCGAUCCUUUACAGGCCCCUAUCUCAGGUGCUUAAACCACUCAGAAGCCCUGUAUGUGUUAACUGAGUUGCAUGAAGGAGUAUGUGGAAAUCAUUUAGGGGGCAGAACCCUGGCGCACUGGGCGCAUUCACAAGGCUAUUAUUGGCCCACGAUGAAAAAAGAUGCGGCAACCUAUGUAAAAAAAUGUGACAAGUGUCAAAGGCAUGCCCCCAUACCACAUGUUCCGUCGGAAACGUUAAAGCCAAUUUCUAGUCCCUAACCCUUCGCGCAGUGGGGCAUGGACAUAGUAGGACCCCUACCAAUUGCAGCUACUCAGAAAAAAUUCCUGCUCGUCGCCACAGAUUACUUCAGUAAAUGGGUGGAAGUUGAAGCAUACGCUAGCAUCAAAGACAAAGAUGUCAUCAAGUUCGUAUGGAAGAACAUCAUCUGCCGCUUCGGAAUCCCCCAAACCAUUAUAGCCGACAACGGUCCACAGUUUGAUAGCAUCGCUUUCCAGAAUUUUUUUUUCGGAACUAAACAUCUGGAAUUCAUACUCCACACCGUGCUAUCCUCAAAGUAAUGGGCAAGCAGAAGCCACAAACAAGAUCUUAAUAACUGCCUUAAAGAAGAGGCUCGAGCAAGCCAAAAGGAAGUGGGUGGAGGAGCUACCUGGCGUCCUGUGGGCUUAUCGAACCACACCCGGACGUUCGAUAGGAAACACUCCCUUCGCCCUCCCAUACGGUAUGGACGCAGUCAUUCUUACUGAAAUAGGGCUACCCACUAUCCGGACCAAGGCAGGAGAGCAGGAUGAUGCAAAUGCGGAGUUAGGAAGGAACUUGGACUGGGCAGACGAAGUAGGAGAAACUGCAUCCAUCUGGAUGGCAGACUAUCAACAAAGGGCAGCCGCUCACUACAAUCGCAAGGCAAGACCCGAAAGUUUCAAAAGUGGAACGCUGGUUCUUAGAAAGAUUUUCGAAAACACUGCUGAGACGGGAGCAGGAAAGUUUCAAGCCAAUUGGGAAGGUCCUUAUAUAGUGUCCAAGACAAGUGAAAGUGAAGUCUAUCAUCUACAGAAGCUAGAUGGAACCCCAUUGCUUCGACCAUGGAAUGUACCCAAUCUAAAGCAAUAUUACCAAUGAAGCAAAAACAGAAGUACAAAAUGAAUGAGUAUGUUUUAUUAAUACUUGUGAAAUUUUAUACAAAAAGGCUCUUCGGACUACUAAUACAGAGAGAAAAAGCAGUAAAAGUUACAAAAAGAAAAGCUCUCAUUGGGAGGGCUUGCGAUGCAACUUUUCUUUCUCGCCCGGGGGAAUCGAAGGGACAUCCCGUUUGAUGCAAUGCUUCUUCAUGCAGCAAUGGUAGCCAAAGAGAUACAUCUCGUCUACCUGCUUCUGGUAGUCCGUCUCGAGUUCCUCUCUCUCCGCAGCAAACUCAACCUCCAACUCUUCUUUUUGUGUUGAUAAGCGCAACUGCAAAUCCUCUUUCUGUUUUUUCUCAAUUGACACCUCUGUCCUGAGUUGUCUUACUUCCCCCCUCAGUUGGGCCGUCUCGUUUUCCGCCUCGUGCAAGCGGGCGUCGGUAGCUUCCUCUCGGCUCUUCGCCUCUGCUAGCUCUAUCCGGAUAGCCUCGUUGUCAUCCUGGGACCUCUUCAAGGCUUCAGCACUCUUUUCAGAGGCUCUCCGGGCAGCGGAUAAGCUGGCUUCGGCCUGCUCCAAUCUCGAGCGCAAUUCCUCUUCACCGCUCAUGUGCUGGGAGACGAAGGCCUUCAUGUGAUCGGAAACCCGCAGCAAGUUUGUAAAAAGAUCGUGUUGUCGAACCAUGCCGCGAAUACCACUCACCAGCUGCAGGAAAAACCCACAACAAAAAGUACAAGUUGCAAGCCAUGUAAAAAGCACACCAGUAUGGCAAGAAAAAUCAAAGGAGGAUAAGUUAUACCAUUUCCAUCGCUUCAAACAUUUUCGCUGUAGGCGUAGCAACAUCUGAGCCGGAUGGAAUCCGUUUUAACAUAUCUCCCAACUCCGCAUAGCUGACAGGACUAGCGGAGGUGCAAGUUGCAUCAUCAACGGGACUCUCCCCUGACGAGGCACUAGGGUGUGACUCCUCCCCCGGCUCCGGACCCCCAUCAUGCAUGGUCGGCUGGAUCUCUUCGGGCGAACCCUCAUCCGGGACCAACACCGGGUCGGUUGGGUUCUCUUCCGCCAUCUCCGUCUCACUCUCCUCCGGAUGAUCCUCCUGGGCGGAUGAGCAGCUGACUUCGAUGGUUUCCAGAAGAAUAUCCUGAAGCCGCCCGCUGAUGCCAGACUUUAAAUCGUGAGCCAGACGAGACCUCCUUGUAGCUGGCCUUUUCACCGGUACAAGGGCAAGGGAGCUCGACUCACAAGGGGGCAAACCCUGCCCUUCAACCCUCGUUUCUUCCAUUGGAGGCGCCAUAGAAGGCAACGUUUCAGCGCAAGAAGCCUCGGCUACACCCGCGUCCGGAGGGGAAGAGUCGGGCUGACACACUGAGAUUGCUUCCUCAACCAGAAGAGCCAUCCGUUUAGCCGCUGGCAUUGAAGGCCCCGAUCCGUUUAGACCCGUGAGACGUCCGGAACCGCUUGAAACAGAAGACAAACCGGAGGAAGCUGGAGAUCUUAUUAUUAUUCCCUCCACGGGAGCUGGAGAGCUUAUUACUAUUCCCUUUGUGGGAGCUGGCGAUUUUAUUACUACUCUAUUUUCGGGAGUUGGAGGUUUUAUUGCUUUUCCCUUUGAGGGAACCUUUUUCUUCGUUCUAGUUGGGGCGGCAGUAGGAGGAGAGGGCGCGGAGCGUUUAUCACCAGGGGCCUUCCGCAAAGUCCCCUCUUGCUUUUUUUUCCUCCCGUUCGUUGAGAAGUGCUUUGCGUGCUUGGGCGUCUGCCUUUUGCACCGUCGUGUAGAAUGAGAGAUCUUUUAAAAUGAAAUGCUUCCCAGCCACCACCUCUUUGGGCAGCCGCCUCGGGAGUAUGUUGAGCACGUACGGCUGGGGCACUUGGGUAACCAAGCGGAGAUUCUGCGCGGAGAGAAGCGUUUCACAGCUCCUCUCGUUUGCCGCAAUCUAAAAUAGCCUGUUCAACCGGUCAAACGAGGCUUUUUCCACCCACUCUACCACCUUCCCCCUCCUAUCCUUGCCUGCACCCAAGAAAACAAAGCAUGUCAACCACCUAAUAAUGUUGACCUAACUCACAACCACGGGAGGACAGGGAGCAACUUAUACAUACCUAGGACCUUCAAUGACCGGUUGAGAGCAAACUGCUUGUUCGGAUGCGUGGUCAAACCCACCCAUACACCCUUGAACAGCACGUGUAAAAAGAACCUCCAGUAGUGAAAGGUCCAAGUUGAACAGCAUGCUCAGGAUGCUGCACCCCAUCAGCACCCGGACCAUGUUCGGAUGGAUGUAAGCCGGAUCCGGGUGACGUGGAGAAAUUCUUUGAACAAUGAUGGGAGAGAGAACCGGAGCCCAGCAUUGAAUUGCUCCUUGGUGAAGUAGAUAGCGUUGUCCGCAGAUUUCUCAGUCGACAUGGCCUCUUCGUCCACAAGGUGAACGGACACUCCAUUCGGGAUGCAGAAGCGUUCGCAGAACUCCCUCACGUUUAGCUUGUCCACAGAUUUUUCCGCAUGGACCUCUCCGGACGCAUCUUUGCCGCUCUACCCGGCCGCACUAGACGAAGCAGCGUUCUUUUUCGCAGACAUUUUUUAGAGUAGGGUUGAAGCAAAACCUGCAUGACAGAAUGUCAACAGUAAAAAACAUGGACCCGACCCCACAACCCUAACGGCAAAAAACGCUCAGAAAACCUAACAUCACCAGUAUCCCCAUCCCAACCCUUGGCUCUACCACAAACAAAAAUCGGUAGCCCACAAAAGGCGCAGGGGGGCAACAGAAACCCUAACGCACCCAAAACACGAUCAAAACCCCCUGAAAAAACCCUAAAAACCAAUAUCGACCCCCAAUCGUAAAGUAGAUUGCCCAACAAGCCAGAAACAACCAUAAAGCAAACACAAACGAGGACAAGGCAGAAAUAGAGAACGUACCGAGUGUAAAAUGGCAAAAUGGAGAUAAAGUCCACGGUGCACUCACCGUCACUGAUCGAAUAUUGCUAGCAGAAACCCUAGAACCUCACUCACAGACGAAGAUACGCAGAAGGCUGAAGAGAAAGCGCUACCAAUAGAAAAUGCAGAAGAAAAAAUGCAACAGUAGGGGGCUCGAUCUGCUAUUUAUAGUGGACAGCCCCUCGGUAUCCCAAACGACCAACCGCGCCGUUUCUGAAAAGACACGCUGCUUGGAAAUUCCCAGAGAUGUCGGCUCAUCAUAAAUGCUCUUUUUCCUUUUUCGCCCCCGCGCACCACGUGGCCCAAUGAGCGCAAAAAGUAACCUCAGAUUCAAAAACAAUCAUUUUUUAACCUGCUCAUUCUGCCCGGACAAAAUCGGCAGGUUAAAAGGGGGGCAUUGUAGGGACCCUUCCCCCUGAUGACACAUGGCGCGCCUCGCUGUCCGGAGCGACUCCAUCCGGACUCCCCAAAGAAGGACACGUGGCGCGCUCCCCCUAUCCGAAUUCCCUCAGGGAGAAGCACACGGCACUCGCAAGCAUCACAUCCGGACGAUAGCAUAUCCUAUCCGAAUAUGUUGUCCGGAUCGUUGACUAAAGUAAGCAAGUCUUAAUGACAGCCUGCCACAGCCCACGUUUCACCACCUGCAGAGCGAAAGGACAGAAGUGAUGGCAAGUCACCUUCUACGAUCUCUGACAGCCGCCCGUAGGGUGAUGAUGGCCCUGCCAUCACCUAGAGGCAUCAUGACGAGCCAAAAAGUCUCCCUACCAUUAAAGAGGAGGACAGAGCUUCUGAUACUAUAUAUAUGGACCUUCACACAAGGAGGAAGGUAAGCUUGCUAUACCUAGUAAAAGGUCAACUGAUUAAUCUCUCUAAGAUAUGGCUGACAAAACCAUCGGAGGGUGUGUCCGGACACCCUGUCCGGACAUCUUUUGCAAGGACAACUGAACCAGAACUCUAUCUUGGUUGAAAACGUGCGUCCAUUUGGCAGUUACGUGGAUCAUCGGGACGCAAGGCCUCAACAACCACCACCAUCGUCGCCUCGGUACUCAGAUGCAGACUAUAAUUAAAUUUUCGAAGACGGUGACUCUAUAAUAAUAAGUCUUUCAAUAGUCAAUACUUCCGAUUCGAAAGUAUGACUAUAAUAAUUAAAUUUAAAAAUUUUAAAAUCAUUUUUAUUCUCAAUAUUGGGAACAAAGUCUUCCAUUAUUUUUUUUAAAAAAAUGCAGUAGUGUUAAAACAAUUUAUCUUCAAAACUAAUGUUAAAAAAAAAGUAAAAUUAAAUAAAAAUUAGUUUCACCUAUUAUUAUAUUUUUAUUUUCUAGCUUUUGGAUGUUGUUAUCAUUUUUUCCCUUCAUGUGCUAGGAUGACCGAGUUGAAUUUGUUAUUUGGGUGGAGCUAAUUUGUUUAAAUAUUCAUUCUUUGGGGAAUAAAAAUAAUUUUAAUAUAGCAAAACUAAAACAUAUAAUAUAGAAGAUGGACAAAGUUAAGGUAAACACUCAAAGAAAAUUAAGAUUUUGGGACUUCUCAAUUUAAUAAAGGUUUUGUUGUAUUAAGGGUACAUGGGUUAUACCAAUAAAUAAGUAUUAGCCCAAAAGUGAUGCAAAUUGUGGGUACGUUGUUUAAGAAUAUAUACAUUUUCUUUUUUAUUUUCAUCCUUUAACACUAUGAUAUAUUUAGAGUCCAUUUGGUAGUGAUUCUAUAAAACGCUUUUAAUAUUUGAAAUUGAAAAUUUUUGCUAAUUAUUUUAAAUUUUUUUUUGGAGCUAUUAUUAAUUUUAAAAUAACUCUAUUAUUUCUAUUUUAUGUAGAAUUAUUAUUUUCUAUUUUUUUAACCUAGCAAAUAAGUUUCAAAUUAAAUGAGGCUUAAUGUGUUAGAUUUAUUAACAAGUUUAUUAAUUUUUGAAAAUAAUUUGAAACUCAAAUAAUAAACUCAGUAAUACUAGAAAUUUAUGGAUAAAUUUUUUUUUCAUAAUGACUAUUAUUUUUUUCUACACAUAAUUAUAUUUUAAUAAAUUUCUCACUAUAAAAAUGAACUUCAAAUUGACACUUUGUAUUAAAUUUAUUAAUAUGUUUAACAAUUUUCAAAAAUAAUUUGGAACUAAAAAAAUAAGUACAAUCAUAAAAAAAACAAUAGAUUAAAACUAAUAUAUUAUGAAUCAUGACUUUACUGUUUCUUCUAUAUAUACAAAUAUAUUUUUUGAAUUUAGGUAAAUAAAUUAUAAUUUGAGUAAGACAAAUUAAUAAUUUAAGUUCUUUAAUGAAUUUUUAAAUUUUUAAGAAUAAUCUUGAAUUCAUAAUUGCCCUCCUCCUAUGAGAAUGGCAUAUUGCCCACCAGUACACAAAAUAAAACCGAUGGAAGUAGGUAGAAAAUUAUUUAGGAAGAACCACUCAGAUUAUGCAGUAUGGUAAUGUACAUCCAUAAGUUGGUUAAUCAGCUAUUAAGUUGUAAUUUCCAUAAUGUUAUAAUGAUCUUCUACAGAGUAUCUGAAAAUAAGUUGAUGUUGAAACUUGUCAUAUUUUCAUAUGCCUUUCAAAGAUGGAUCCCUUUAGUUAGUCAAUAAUUGAUACUGGUUAAUUUCAAGUAUGCUUAACUGUUAUUCCUAAUUCUUUGUGAUGAAUCAAUCCUCAUUGGUGAAAUGAUUAUGUAUCUGAAGUUUGAGACAACAACACAUUAGCAUCAAUAAAUUCUUGGAUGUAUGAUGGAGUUGUGAGUUUUCACAAUGGCCUACUGCUUCAUCUAUUAUAUAAUGGUUUUUCUUUCCCUUGGUUAAAUGUUUGUGUGAUUAUUUUUGGCUUAUUGGUUGGUCAAUCAAAUAUUGAACCCUUUUAAGUUGGUUCCUACAUCUAAAACUAAAUUGUUCAUGAAGUUUCUGAUUGCCUCAUCCUGUCUUUUCCAUUUAUGCAUGUAGGUACAAUGAAUUUGAUCAACCUGUCUGUAGGGUCUGUGAUGUCAUUUUGAAAUCUGAAUCCCUAUGGGAUGCACACCAAGCUUCUCGUAAACAUCAUGAGGUGAUGCUUACUGUCCUAGUUAUGUUAUGAAUAAAGCUAUUGAAAAAUUGCAUUCAGAGGUUCUAUAGCAUGUACAAUCACACACGACACAAAAGAUUAUUGUAAUUUCAUUCCUUUAUGAUAGAUAAAUUCUAAAAUAAGAAUGCAGUGAAAUCAUGUAUGAAGAUAUCUACAGAUUGUCACACUCAAGAGUCGAUAUUGAAGUGGUGUAGGGUGAAGGGCUUGAGUAAGGGCCUCUCUCGAGGUUUGUUUCAUUGAGUAAGAGCCUCCCUUGAGUUUGAUGUCACACCUAUCUUUCUAUAAUGUAGUCGUGUCCCUCACCUUGGCAAUAGAUGUUAAUCCUUGGAUUGGAUGGGUCCUUCCUCUUCAAAAUCCUUCUUUCUUUCCUUUUGUCUAGGGUGGAUAAGUUGGUUUAUCUUCUGCUAGUAGGACAAAUUUGGAGAUUCAAAGUUUCCCUUGAAUUGAAAGACUUUAUACAGUUAGUGGCUUAUAGUAAAGAGAAUAUAAGCUAUCAUCUUGGGGUUAGAAGACCCUACAAAGUUAUUGACCGUGAUGAUUGUGUUUCAAGUAGGAAGAGUAGAGAAAAUAGAUUACUCAGUGUUGGAUAUACUUUCUACUUUUUGUUCUUGAAAUAAAAAAAAUCAGUAGUAAAUUUUAUAUAAGAUGCAAGAACUCUUAAAAGUUUGCAUGAAAAAAGUAAUGGUUCUGAAAGCUAUUUAAAAAAUUUGAGGUAUUAGAAAGUUUUUAGUACCUCAAAUUUUAAAAUUUCUAAAAAUGAUUUUUAAAGAGAUAAGGUGAAUCUAUUCUUUUUGUACAAGAUGUUUUACUUUUUUAUAGAAGUUUCUGAUUUUAAAAACAAAAAAUAGGAAGUGUAUCAAAAUAGACAUUUAGUUUCCCAUUGCUUGUUUCUUGUGAUCUUUGGUUGUGUAUCUUUUCUAUGGUGGGUAUUUAGUGUUCUUUUAAGGAUUUGUUAGGGAUAAUAGGAGCAAAGUUAGUUGAUGCCUUUCAAAUUGAGGGAAAGGCCAGGAUAUUUGAAUAAUAGAUAAAGGUAUGGUGUAUACUUCUUGUUGCCCUCUUUGGGUUUUCAUUAUUAGGGAGUUCACUAUCAUUUUGUUUAUUUUGAAUUUGGGUCCAGAGCAACAUAUGUUACUCCCUUAAAUGAGUGUUCUUAUUUUUAAGCUCCAUACCUUUUGGGUUUUACCUGGAGCCUUAUCAGGAUGUGAUAUUUUUGUUCAUGUCAUUCUUCCUACAUGUGACUUUCAUUUCAAUUCUCUAUUAGAGUUGUUUGUUUUGUAUGAAAAAUACCUAAUGAUUUUUAUGGUGAAAAAACAUCCUCUGCCUGCCCACUAUUAUCAAAGGUAAGCCUUGGUGGUAAAUAGUGCAAACCAUGGGUGAAGUGGUUUGCUUUAGACAAGGUGUCUCUGAUCAUAGCUAUGUAUGUUGUGAAAAACACAAUUUGUGUGUAAAGAUGAAUGAAUGGUGCAGUGAGUGUUUUCCUUUUUUCUGGAGUAAUCCACAUUAACUAUCUCUCCUUUUAAUAGAAAUAACCAAAGAUUAGAAAUAGGUCAUCUAUGAUAGCCAUCGAAUGAUGCAUAAACACCAAUAGCUAUUCUUAGAUAAAAUGCCAGCUAUUCUAGGUUUUACUUCUCCUUUUUUCCCCACUAUUGAAACCCUAAGCACCAUUAUGCUUAGGGAUUUCCUUUGGGGAGGUGGGAAUCUGGAGCGAAAACCUCAUUUAGUAAGAUGGGAAUUGGUGUGCUUAAGUAAAAAGAAAGGGGGUUUGGGGGUCAAGUGCCUUUCCACAUUCAAUAAGGCUCUUCUUUGCAAAUGGAAUUGGUGAUUUGCGAAUGAAAGAGGGGUUUUGUGGAAUCAAGUGAUUAGAGGGAAGUAUGGGGAAGAAAGAGGGGGGUGGUGCUUUCGGGAAAUGAGAGAGGCGUAUGAUGUUGGGUUAUGGAAAGGGAUAAAGAUGGAAUGAGAUAUUGUGAGAACUAGGAUUUCCUUCUCAGUAGGUAAUGGGCAUAGGUGAGAUUUUGGAGGGAUAAGUGGUGUGGGGAUUCUCCUUUGUCUGUGUCAUUUCUAUCCUUGUUUGCUUUAGCUGUUGAUGAGAAGGCAUGAUUGGUGGAUAUUUGGGACUCCUCAACUGAGGGGGGUAGGGGGGGAUGGAACCCUUGCUUCUCUAGAUCCUUUAAUGAUUGGGAGGUGGAGGAGGCGGAAAGCUUCUUGAUGCGGCUGCAUGGGAAGAGAGUGUGUGGUGAUGUGUAAGACACGGUGUUUUGGAACGAAACAAAGAGUGGGAAGUUCUUGGUCAAAUCCCUCUACUAUGCUCUAGAGCUGGAUAGCUCUUCUUCAUUUCCCCCAAGUUGCAUUUGGAAUGUGUGGGUGUAGCCCAAGAUUAACUUCUUUGCUUGGGAGGCUACAUGGGCCAAAGCUUUAACUUUGGAUUUAAUUCAAAAAGGAGGACGGGCCUUAGCAAAUAGAUGUUUUUUGUGCCAUGAGAGGGAAGAGACUAUAGGCCACCUUCUUUUUCAUUGUACUAAAGCAAGGGUCUUGUGGGAAUUGUUCUUUUCUUUGGUUGGGGUGUCAUGGGUGCUUCCUUCUUCAAUUAAAGAGACCCUCCUUAGUCGGCAUGGUUUGUUUGUGGGCAAAAAGCGUAUGAAGGUGUGGAGUGCAACUCCUCUACAUAUUUUUUUGGACGGUUUGGAAGGUGAGAAAUAGAUUAGCCUUCGAUCUAGAGACUCAAAUACUAUUUUGUUUUUUCCCUUUGGUUAGAGGCAAAGUUGUUUAUAGCUGAUCACCCUCUAACUUUAGUUAGUUUUGUUGAUUGGUUGAGCUUUAGUUAAAGUCGUUUUUUUUUACUUGCUUGAGCGUUUGUUUUCUUUUUCUUUUUUGGCUGGUUUGGCGAUGGGUGUAUAGGUGUUGUAUACCUUGAGUUGCUCUUUUGACGUCUCUUUUUUAAUAGAUCUUUUUCUUUACCUAUCAAAAAAUAAAAAUUAUGCUUUAUCUCAUGAUGUAAUCAAAUGCAUAUGAAGAAAAAGUGUAAUUCUAUCCAAACAAAGAAUUCAAGCACUCUCUCCUUUCAACACACAAGAGGCGAUAUACCACCAAACAACGUUUGUCAGGGGUUAAAAUAUGUAGGGAAAGAUGUUACCUAAUGGAUAAAAGAAUGCUUACCAAGCAAAAGGACCUACAAGGAGCAAAUGAAUUGCACAAGGUUAAUUGGGAUGUAUUUAAAGGUGAAGAAGAUGGAGAGAUAUAUUUAAAGCUCAAAGAUGUGUUUCUGCAGUCUUGCUUCGAGUGGUCUUUGCAUGCAUUUGCGCAAUAAGGAUGUCUCUUUUUGAUUUUGUAGAUAGUUCAGGUUUGAUGCAAGUGGUUUUUGUGAGUGUUGAGUUCAGGUUUUCUAUUUAUUUAUUUAUUAUUUAUUUUUAUAACCACUAUGUCUUGGUGGUCCUAUGUAUAAUGUACUAGGUUUGGCCUCUUUGUGGCUCUUAGAUUUGCAUAUCUUAUUAUCUAUCAAAAACAAAAAAAAAAAAGGCAAUUAAAGAGAUAGAGGAGAUUGAUGGAUGUGAUAGAAUAAUUUGAGUUCUAGUUAAAGCAGCCACAAGAAAUUUUUUUAAAAUCAUUUUCUUGUUUGCUUUUCUUUUUUUCUUUGUUUUCAUCUCUUUCUUGAUCUCUUUCCUUCUGUCAGAAACAACAAUUUAUAUGCAUAGCAUGUUGGCUGUCUCUGACUCUUUGUGUUCAGGGGAGAAGUUGUUCACAAACUUAGACAAUCACCUCCCCUCUUAGCCAACUCAUCAACUCUCUAGGUAGGCAACCAAGCUUUCCAAGGCAACCCAUGCUUCUAGAAUGGUCAACAAAUCGGUGAAUUUAGAAAGCAUAUCUCAAUACUCCCUCCUAUCCAGAAGAGAUUUCUAAUUCAGAGCAAGUACACCACUUUCAAAGUUGGGGUGAGGAUAAGAUUUUUUUUCCCCUUAAUGUGCAAAUCAAUACUGGGUGGCUUAUAUGAAAACGUCCUAACAGGCCUAUUUUUGUGUUUCCUGAGCAAUUUCCCAGACCAAUUUGCAAUGGAGUACCAUCAAAGUGGAUCUUAGGCUAUCAAUAGGAGAAGAGGGGAUGGGGACGAAUUUCUCAAAGACCUCAUAAUUGCCCUCCUCCUAUGAGAAUGGCAUAUUGCCCACCAAUACACAAAAUAAAACUGAUGGAAGUAGGUAGAAAAUUAUUUAGGAAGAACCACUCAAAUUAUGCAGUAUGGUAAUGUACAUCAAUAAGUUGGGUAAUCAGCUAUAAAGUUGUAAUUUCCAUAAUGUUAUAAUGAUCUUCUACAGAGUAUCUGAAAAUAAGUUGAUGCUGAAACUUGUCAUAUUUUCAUAUGCCUUUCAAAGAUGGAUCCCUUUAGUUAGUCAAUAAUUGAUACUGGUUAAUUUCAAGUAUGCUUAACUGUUAUUCCUAAUUCUUUGUGAUGAAUCAAUCCUCACUGGUGAAAUGAUUAUGUAUCUGAAGUUUGAGACAACAACACAUUAGCAUCAAUAAAUUCUUGGAUGUAUGAUGGAGUUGUGAGUUUUCACAAUGGCCUACUGCUUCAUCUAUUAUAUAAUGGUUUUUCUUUCCCUUGGUUAAAUGUUUGUGUGAUUAUUUUUGGCUCUUAUUGGUUGGUCAAUCAAAUAUUGAACCCUUUUAAGUUGGUUCCUACAUCUAAAACUAAAUUGUUCAUGAAGUUUCUGAUUGCCUCAUCCUGUCUUUUCCAUUUAUGCAUGUAGGUACAAUGAAUUUGAUCAACCUGUCUGUAGGGUCUGUGAUGUCAUUUUGAAAUCUGAAUCCCUAUGGGAUGCACACCAAGCUUCUCAUAAACAUCAUGAGGUGAUGCUUACUGUCCUAGUUAUGUUAUGAAUAAAGCUAUUGACAAAUUGCAUUCAGAGGUUCCUUUAUGAUAGAUAAAUUCUAAAAUAAGAAUGCAGUGAAAUCAUGUAUGAAGAUAUCUACAGAUUGUCACACUCAAGAGUCGAUACAGUAGAAGAAAAACAUUUGUCUUUGUAUUUACAGAUUAACAUGUACAUCAAAAUGCAAUGAAUAUUGUCUAUCAAAAAAAAAAAAAAAAAAAAUACAAUGAACACAUGUAUUUGUGUAUCUAUUUAUACAUGCUAUUGAUUAUUUGCAUGUCAAAAUCAGGUUGUUUGAUUUUAAAAGAUUCUAUAUGGAUUCAAAAGAUGUAUGUGCUAGGGUCUUAUCUUUGCUACUAAAGCUAUACUUUUAAUAUGCUUUGUUUUUUUUUUUUUUUGAAAUUUUAUGCACGUUUCCUCUUAUAUAUUACUUUUAUGUUUAUUAUCUAUACAUAAUUAACAAUUCAUGAUGACAUCAUCGAUCAUUAUUUUCCUGUGUUUCAUAUUGUAUCCUAAGUGGAAAUAUCAUUGAAAUCCUUCUAUACUUGUGUAAAAAAUAAACAGCUGUCAUGCAUAGAUUAUCGCAUAGUGUAUAAUUAUAAUUUUGUUUUUAAACAAAACAAACAAAAUAGGGUCUGCAACCCUACUCAGCAGCUGCUCAGUUGACAGCUCCAAUCUGGCUCUAUGCACCUAAAGAUUAUUUUGUACUUAAAAGGAACUAUUUAAAAAAAAACACAAAAAGAAGAAAAUAUUUUUAAUCUGUCGUUGGAUGAAACAGGGUGAAUGAGCCCUAUCAGGGUAUAAGGUUUUUUUUUUUUUUUUGGUUUUUGUUUUUGUUUUUUGUUUUUAUUUAUUUAUUUAUUUUUUUAUCAUAAACAAUAAUUCGUUUAUAAGGAUUUGAAAGUACAUGUGAAGGAUGAGAAUUCCUUCCUGAAAAUAAAAAUUUUGAUUAAACAUAAACAAAUGGAUGAUUUCCCCAAAAUGCAAAACGAGACCUCAAUAUAUUGCCAAAAGAAACCAUAGAAAGGAAAGACUAUUCUCUAUGGGCUGAAGCUUUGCUCUAAGCUUAACUAUUUUGACUUUUAUGAUUCACACACCAAAUUCUAAUUGAGCUAGAGUCCCCUUGAAAGCUGUAGUUGUUGGGCCUCAAAAAGAGGAAUAGAGAUAAAUUAGGUUCCAUAUAGAUUUUGUAGUUCUCCGCUUAUCCUAAAAAAUCUUUACAUUUCUUUUCUUCCAAUUUGCCAAAAUUUUUUGCCUCUAGAAUAAAUUGCUCCUCAAACCUCUAAAAGAUAUCGUCAUCAUGUCACCUAUGCUCCUAAAAGUGAACUGAAACUUUAUUAAAUAAAUAAUAAAAAUCUACAUGUUUAUUACACCAUGUCAUGCUUUUAAGGGCUCUAUCCUAACAAUUGAGUCAUUCUUUCUUUAUCUACAUUUCAAAAUUCUUUCUUUUAGGAAUCCUUCCUUGGAUAGAGUUUUUUCCCUUUGUUUUUCUCAAACUUGAUUAACUUCUUAAAACUUUCUUGUGAUGGGUACAAGGUCCUCAUCUUCUUCACUAGCUUUUUCUUCUUCAUCAUCAAUGGUGGAGGCUUUAAGAGCAAUAUUUUUCUUCUUCUAAUCUUUCACUUCUUGAUGACUCUUCAUGAGUCAUCAAGGAUCCAAUCAAUUCCUCCAAAGGAAGUUUUGUAAGGUCCUUAGCUUAUUGGAUAGUCAUAACUUUGGCUUCUCAUUUCUUACAAAGAAAUCUUAGAAUCUUCAUGACCUCCUCUAAUUCCUUGUAAACCUUUCCCAAAGCUUGGAAUCCAUUAAUGAUGUCAGCAAACAUCUCAACAAUAGAUUUAUUAUCUUUCGUAGAAAUAACUCAUAAUUAACCACAAGAAUAUUGAUUUUAGAGUCUUUAACUUGAUUUGUCUCUUCAUAAGUUAUUUCUAAAAAUCUCCAAAUAUCAUAAGUGGAUUCACAUUGGCAAACGUAGUUAUAUUUAUUUCUAUCAAUUGUACAAUGUAAACAUUAAUAGAUAUCUUUAGCAUUUAAAUGAGCUUUUCUUUUGUUAAACUCAUCCCACUUUUAGCUAGGUUUAGGUAUAACAACUUCAUUCUCAAUUUGGUUUAGAAUAUGGGGACCAUUUUGGAUGAAAAAGAUCAUAAUCAAUGGAUUUAAAAAUAAUGUCGUCCUAGUUUCCCAAUAGAAGUAAUUGAUUCCCAAAAAGAACAAAUAUAUAUUAAUCGAAAACCCUUCCAUAUAAGAUGAGUUGGAAGAAUUAGCUAUUUUCUCUUAGACAAUUAAGUAAAAAACAAAAGGUCUAGCUUUGAUACCAAUUGUGAAAAAAAGCUAUUUUGAUUUAGAUAAUCAUUCAAGAGUGGGGCGAAUUAGGUAUUGAAACUAUUUUAAAAAAUAAUCAACUUAAGCAAGUUAUGUAAAGGAUAAGAAUGAAUAGAGAGUAAUAUUAAGAAAUUAAGGGAAUAAUAUUGCAAACUCUUUUAUAAUGGUUUGGGAAGCUGCCUAUAUCCACUCUCCUCAAGCUGCUAAUAGGGUGAAGGUUACACUUAGAUUCCAAGGUUCCAAUAGACCUUUACAAACUCUUCAAGUAAAAUGCCUACUUGAAUACUUCUCUCACAAUAUUAAAUUUUGAAGCUGUAUCCGUAUAGAGGCCAAGGUGUUUUAUGUGUCAGGCUUUUGUUAAUAUACUGCACUGGAAGCUUAAGUGAAAGCUCUUGAGUCAUUUAAUGUUGGGCUCUAAGGUUUAUAUUUGAUAUAUCUCAUAGGAUAGUUCUCAUUUCAGUUACUAUUGGCCAGGUGAAAGUUCCAAUACACAGCUGCUAUUUUAUGGUUCCUAGGUGUAAACUAGUAACGCUUUCAACUUUCUUGUGACUUAUGGAAUGCUGAGUAGAUUGAUGCAAAUUUGAGUGUAUUGAAGAAACUAAAGAUUUUUGUACAUGGAAUAGUAUAAUCUGUUCAAAAAGGGAAAAAAAAAUACUGCAGUAAUUUUUUUUUUUUUGAUAAAUAAAAUACUGCAGUAAUUUUGAAUGUAUGAUAUGAAUGCAAGGAGAUUAUAAUAAUUUCUCCCUGUUCAAUUGUCUAAACUCGCCCUGCUUUGUGCUUAAUCUUUGAACUUUUGACAAGAUUUUGCAAAGAUUUUAGACAGCAUCUACAAAAUUCCACUUUCUCAUUGAAAAUAUGAGCCACAAUUUUAUAUGAAUUGGUUUACAUCCUUUCAAUUGUUAUUAUUAUUUUUUUUUAUGUUUUGAUUUACCAUGAGUUAAUGAAGUGCUUAUACCACUACAGGCAAUUAAAAAUGUCAAAGCCAAUGCUGCUGGACUAACUCGGGCUAACAAUGCAAAACCUGAGGCCCCUAAACCUGAGUCCUCAACUGUAUUGUCUAAUGCUACAUCUGAACCCUCUAUGAAUUUGCAGAAGGCUCAGCUAUCAUCUGGGCUUCCUGCAGAUUUUUUUGAUAAUCAUGUGACAAAGAAGCAAAAAUCUGGUAAGAAAAAAACUGACAUCCAACUUAAGCUUUUCUUCAUCAGUUCAAUUCUAGGCUAUGGCAAUAACUACCUUAGGCUUGUACUUGUUCUGCAGCAUUUUCUAUUGUUAAAAACUAAAGUAAUUACUUUAGGUUUACAAAUGUAAGGAAGUACCCAAUUUUGAAUUCAGAGUUUGACUGAAAUUGAGAAGCAACCUAUUACCGAUUCUGAGCAUAUAUUCUAGAGUCCCACCUACCUGAUGCCCAAUAAGCCGGAAGAGUUGCUAAGUCCUUGUUUCUAGCUGUCCACAUACUUCAUGCAAAUCCCCUAUCAUAUUCUUCUUUCUUAGUUUCUUGGGGCAUCUCUAUGUCUGGAGAUUCAUUGCAGAGAAAUUCCUCGAUUACUCUUCUUUUAUUUCUAGACACCAAACCUCUGCAUUCUGACUGAUGAUCUUCAUUCAAAUAUUUUGACAGUCAAUGAGCACCCUUACAACUCCUGUUAAGCCUCAAUCCUGGUGAUCCUCCGGAUUCAAUUUAGCAGGUUUGUACGUCCUGCUUAAAGUACACCUUACACUUGAACCUUAUGUGGGAGUGACAAUCCUCACUGUGCUUGACAAGCUUGACAUUCCUAGGGGCCAAUACAGAUUCAAUAUCUUCUCCUUGCAAAAACAAGGACUUGCUAGAUUUCAGCCAAAAUGACUCAAGUUGGGCCCUGAAGCCCUUUGAAACACCCUUUCAGGUGGUUAAGAAAGCAAAAGGUGUUUGGUCUGUUAAGCUGACAAGUUUUCUAGAAAAACCAAGUAAUAGAACUUUCUGGGAUUUUUCAUUUGCUUCUUCAUCACUGUCUUUGACUGUUGAUAAAUUCCUGCAGUCAUGACUGUAAUCGCAAGUUGUUAUUAGUCUGGCAAUUUGUUCUAUAUUCCCUAGUUGAAAUUCAGGUUAGUCUGGUAACCUGUGGUUUUAGAGGAAUAAUUUAUAUUUCAUAAUGUAUCUCUAGGAAAUGAUGAUGUCAAGUUCCUAGAUCCAGAUUCAUACAACAAGACUGGGGGUUCUGCUUCUGCUCAAACUCAGUCAAUGGAGCCUCUUGAGUCGAAAAACAAUUUAGACGGAUUGUCCAGUUCUCACUCUGAAAAGAUGGGAAAAAGUGGAAUUCGUCAUGCCAGGGACCUUACCCAGACAUCAGGAAAGAUUGUUGGUUCAGAAACCAAGGAAGUAAAGGGUGCUCUUCCUGAAGGCUUCUUUGAUAACAAGGAUGCUGACCUUCGUGCACGUGGCAUUGUGCCUGUUAAGCCGGAUGUCAAGUAAGUUCUUGCUUCUGUUAUAUAAAUUUAUUUCUUUAAAAUGUCACUAUCAUCUAACAGGGAGUGUAAUAGAUUCUCUGGAAUAGUUGUCCCUUCCUUUAGAUUCUUUUAUGUCCUCUAGUACUGUUUCUUUUCUAUCAAAUUAGAGAAACAAGGUCUGAGAGGGUCUCAAAAGUGUGUAAAGAAAAUUUGAGAUUAUAUCUUGUUUGAAGAAUUAGUUUUCAGCACUCACUGGUCCAUCAUUGUCAUUUUUGAAGCUUUGUCAUCUUUUCAUCAUCGUUGUUAUCAUCAUCGUUGUAAAGAAAAAUUAGGACUCUGCCUUGUACUGACAGGUGUAUGUGAAUUGUGUACAUCACAACUGUAGUGUAGUGAAAUAAAUCUGGGUAUAAUUUAGCAGGGGAGGGUGUUAGAGAGGACUGGCUGUGUUAAAAGCCUUAGUGAGCCUCAGUGGAGGUUUCUCUGAUUCGUGGGAAGUUUAUUUUUGAUGGUGUAGGGACCUUUUAACCCUACAGCAUAAUGGCACGUGUUUAUUAUUGGAUACUUGAGAUGAUCAGAAAUUACGAUGUAUGAUUGCAUUACUUGGAACACUGAAUUAACCUUGUUAAGAAAUGUUAAAUCCUGGUCAGGGACGAGUACAAAGAAUUUGAAAAGUUGAUACAGGAGGAUUUGAAGGAGGUGGACAACCGUUUGGAAGAAGAAGAGGUCAGGAUCAUUUAUUCCUUGCACCAUUCCUAGAACCCAAUAAUGUAGUCUCUGGUGAUGUUUACUAAAGAUUGGAGUUAUAUCAUUAACUUGGUUUUGCAAUUUUAUGAUGUAGUUUGAUGCAGCUGAGAUGAUUGAAGAGGCCGAGUCUGUGGAGCAAAAGUAAGUCAAGUGUGGUCACGAGUAGUGUAUCACUUGGGUUCUCCUAUAUUUCCAAUGUUUUUGAGUUGGCCUUUUGUUCAGGGUGUAUUGGGAGAAAGUGGAAAUGCUGAAGAAGAAGAAAUUGGAGCUGAAGGCGGCCAGAUCCGGCAGACGGAGUAAAGAUCCUGAGGUCAGAGGCAAGGGGCAAAGCUCUAAAGGGGAUUCAUCCAGUGGUGAUGAUAGUGAUGGGAAUUUCACAGUUGAUUGGAGAGCACAACACCUGUGAAUACUUUUGUUUGAAAUUUUCUGGUAGCAUCGCCUGUGCAGACAUGUCUAUUAAGGAAAUAUUUCAUUAAGGAAAUAAAUUUCAAAUCAAAGUGUACUUGAAACAUAAAAUUUAUUAAUUUUUAAAAAUAAUUUGAAACUCAAAAACUGAUUUAAUUAAUACUAAAAGUUAUGAAAAUUAAUAACAUUAGUAAGUCAAAGAUCAAAAUUUAUUUUAAUUAUUUAGGUUAGUUUCUUUAUAUAUAUAUAUAUAUAUCAUUUUUUAAAAAUUUUAAAACUCAAAUAGUAUUAGAUUCACUAACGAGCUUAGUAAUUUUUUAAAAUAAUUUAAAACUCAGAUAGUUAUGGGAAUUUCACAGUUGAUUGGAGAGCACAACACCUGUGAAUACUUUUGUUUGAAAUUUUCUGAUAGCAUCGCCUGUGCAGACAUGUCUAUGUCGGCAUGCAAACACCUGAUUACAUUUGCUGGAGUUUGGUGCUGCUUCUUUCAUUCUGAGCCAUUCUCUAAAUACAGACUGACUAGAUUCUGGUUCAACUGGCUGCUGAUUGAAAGGGAUGGGGAGUGAGGCGAGGUGAGAGUAAGCCCUGGUCCAAGAUCCUAG
rnacentral:lncRNA from 1 species